rnacentral:lncRNA from 1 species
UGACACAACAGAAGUUUCACUCUCCGCAUCAAGCCGCUCAUUCCUGAUUCAAUGUUGUUGGCCUAAACUUAAUGGUGGUUGGCUGCUAUCUACAAUCUAUAGCAUGUAUGUUACGUUCUCAUUUGGUGGUGCUAAUCCAGGAUGAAACUGAUAUUUUGAUUUGUGAGCCUUGGUAUGCUCGUUAUGUCAUUCAGUAGGAAGAAAGCAUUGCGCUGCUAUUAACUUGCCCCUCCUCCUACCAAUGCUUUGAAGUGAGUAGUAUUUCUGUGCACACUGUGUCUUUAUGUUCUGAAAUAGCCAUGGCAGUUUUCAAUGCAAUCCUUAAUCUAUCUUUGCAUGAAAGAGUGUUCUCAUUCUGGCCAUGAUGAUGAUACGAUGCCUCAAACUUUCCUUUGGAUGAAAAUUUUGAACUUCUAUUUCCACAAGAAACAUUUUUGGAUUUGUUGAUGGCCUAUUUGCCACAAUGUGCGGAUCACUGUUGAGGAUGCAGUUUUGAUCUUAGUUUGGGCUUGCUCUAGUUCUUCUAAGAUGAGAAUCUUCAUUCUUCCUUAGAUAUUAACUUUAGUGAAAGCAGGCCAUUGCUCAUUAGUUUGUAUCAGUUGAUUUGUUUAUUUGUCUCAUGUAUUUUUGGAUGGCCUACAAGCUGAUACUUUUCCAGGGGCAUUUGAUCUCAGAACUGAAUAGUUGAGUAGUAGGCUAGUGGUUUUUUUAUUGACAACAGAUAUUUCAAAUGCCCUGGUAUUCUUACCGUAGAAGCAAAUCGAUAGUUGUAUGGUAUGGUGUUGAAAAGCAGAUGUCAUCUCAUACAAUAAGGGAAUUUAUGUUAUGGUAACCUUAAAAAGCACAAAUACAAGGCAAGAGGAUGUGUCUCAGCCAAGUGGAUCUCCAUAGUUUGGAGCUCCCGUCUUCAGACCUGACUGCUGGAUGAAUAUGCCUAUCUGCCUCACAUUUUGGUUCCGUUUUUCAGUUUGAGUGAAGCGCCUUGGCUGAGCCGGCUACUGUUCUUGCGCGGAGCAACGGCGAGCGCCAUGCCGUCGUGCCACUGCCCGGUGCCAUGGGAUUGAAACUUGGUGCUAUCAGCUGGCACAAUUGGGGAUAAACGUACUGGGCAUUGCUUCAGCUAAGUUCACGGCUGUGUCCACUUUGCCCGGGAAAACAUAUUUCAAAAUCUUGAUUCGGCCUAUAAAGGUGCCAUUUCGAUAUCUUAUCGACCGAUAAAACACAUUUCACUGCCACUGAGGAGUCCUCCAUGGAUUUAGCUUCCUUGCCUUGAAUAACAAGGCUUCUCGAAUGUUCCUCCUACGGAGCGCAUGGGCCGGCAUGGUGGUCCAGGGUGGAAAUCCGGCCUAGGGGUCCCCGGCCGGGCCAUAACACCCUAAGAAGCGGAAGGAGGAGACGUCGCGAAUGGGGAGGAUUGUUACUGAGAACUUGUUGUGGCCCCUUAGAAGUAAAAGAGUUGGGAUUUUUGAAAGUUAUUUUUUACUCCCCCCGUUUCUUUCUAGUCUGUAUAUAAAAUUUGGCCAAAGUCAAACUUUGUCAACUUUGACUAAGUUUGUAGAAAAAAUAUCAACAUCUUUUUUUGAGGGUAUCUUUUUUGUAGACAAAAUUCUGAACAUCUUUUAGGGCAUUUUGAGCUGAUCUAAAUGGGUCUCUAUAGUCUAACUCAGCCCGGCCCAUCAAGGUUGGACCGGACGCCACGCGACGCAAACCCUCACCACUAUCCCCUCCGUCUCGCCGCCGGCGCCGCCAUGCUCCGGCUCCGGCGCAGCGUGCUCUCGAAGCUCCUCUCGUAUCCCUCCGUCUCUCCUCUCCACCGCCUCAUCUCCACCACGGCGCCGGCCCCCGCCGUCGCCCCCAGCACCGGGUUCGCCGUGGAGGAGUACCUCGUCUCCACCUGCGGCCUCACCCGACCGCAGGCCCUCAAGGCCUCCGCCAAGCUCUCCCACCUCAAGUUCCCCUCCAACCCCGACGCCGUCCUGGCCUUCCUCGCCGGCCUCGGCCUCUCCGGCGCCGACGCCGCCGCCCUCGUCGCCAAGGACCCCAAGUUCCUCUGCGCCGACGUGGGGAGAACCCUGUCCCCCGUCGCCGCGGGGCUCGCCGGCCUCGGCCUGUCGCCUUCCGAGAUCACCCGCCUCGCCUCGCUCGCCCCCGACAAAUUCCGCUCUAGAUCCAUCGUCUCCAAGCUGCACUACUACCUGCCUCUCGUCGGGUCCUACGAGAACCUCCUCGGGGUGCUGAGGUAUGGCUCCUGCCUCGUCUCGUCCGACCUGGAGACGGUGGUCAAGCCCAACGUCGCCUUCCUGCGGGAGUCCGGGCUAGCUGACUGCGACAUUGCCAAGCUGUGCGUCACUCUCCCAUGCCUGCUCACCUCCGGCUGGGAGCGCAUCCAGGCGUUGGUGCUGUGCGCCGAAGGCCUCGGCAUACCCCGUCGGUCCGGGAUGUUCAGGCACGCGCUGCAUGCUGUCGCGUUUGUCGGCGAACAGAAGGUCGCCGCCAAAUUGGAUUGCUUGAAGAGGACGUUUGGGUGGUCAGAUGCUGAGGUCGGCAUUGCUGUGUCCAAGUAUCCGAUGCUGCUGACUAAGUCUCACCACAUGCUGCAGAGCAAGUCAGAGUUCCUGAUCUCCGAGGUGGGGUUGGAACCGGCAUUCAUUGCUAAUCGGCCCGUAAUUGUCUGUCUUAGCCUGGAGGGCCGGCUCAGGCCCCGGUACUACGUUUUAAAGUUUCUCAAGGAAAAUGGAUUGCUCAAGGGUGAUCCGAGCUAUUAUACAGUUGUCAUGGUGAAUGAGAAUGUUUUCGCGCAGAGGUACAUGUGCCCUUACAAGGAAGCUGCACCAUACCUCGCUGAAGACUAUGCAACUGCUUGCGGAGGGGAAGUGCCGGCUAGAUUCGUAUUUGCAUGAGCUGAAAACACAAAUAUUGAAAUUUUGAUGCUUACUGUACCACAUAUUCCACUUUAUGCAGUAGGCUUGUAAGCUUUGUUUCAGUGUUAUUGCCUAACUAAAUGUUGGCUGUCUGAUAUAGUAUGUCUGUCACUGCUUGUUUGUUAGUUGUUAAUGCUUGAUGAAGUUAAUUAUUGUUAGUUGUUAAUGUUUGUAUCAGUUUUUUCAUUUAUUUUUCUCCUAUAUUUCUGAUUAGCCUAAUGGCUGAUGCUUUCAGUUUGAGGCACAACUUGACUCAAAACUGAAUAAUGCAGUAGUAUAUUAUCUUUGUACGUCCUAUUAUCUCCUCCAAAUACUAUGGCUGGUAAACUAAAGCCUCUUCUGAUUUGCACCAAUCAGGGGUUACGUGUGUUCUUUAACAGGUAUGAAUGAAGCUAUGCUGUUAAUUUGUUAUGUCAUCAUUUAAGCCCAGCAGAUUGUUAGAAUGUUUAACCUAAGUCGAGCGUGUUAUCCAAUCUGCCUAGAAUGUUUACAGGCUAUGCUUUAUGCAAACAGAGUUAUGCAUUAACAGAUGCAAGCUGGAUCCGCUAGAUGGCAUCUGAUAUAUUUGUUAGUGCUAUAAAAAUAUAUCUUCACAACUAUAUUGAGCUUUUACUGCUGCCCUUUGUAUUAAAACAUGUUAAUGCUGGAUGUGAUACUGACAACAUGAAUUAUCAGCUACCUAGAAUGUUACUGUCUGGAAAACAUAAUGCUAACUCUAUCUGCGUAUUUGACAAUUUUCCUACUUACAUAUGAUGCCAAGUGUGCAUUAAAGUUUAUGCCCUUUUUGUGUGAUUGUAAGGCUGUGGCUGUAUACCUUUUGAUGUCGUUAGCUCUUGUUGCAGUACCAGAUGAACUCAAUAAUCCACGCUUUCUGUGGAUUCUGUCUCCUCGUUAUGUCAGGUGCCUAUCCGAUUUUUUCCUUCAAUCUUUGGAGUACUGCUAUAGAAAAUUGACCUCCAUCGGGUUUGAACGGAUUGCAGAUAAAUUUUCAGGGCUUCAAGGAGACUGGGAUAGGGUGGAGAGUGGAGAGGUGCGACGGAGAUCAGAAUCUGACUGCUGGCGGCCGCCUUCAGUGGCCGUCGUUUGGUGGUCAGAUAGCUUGACCAGGACAAGAAAGCCAGGCAAGACUAAGAGGCAAACUCUUCAUUUUUUCCUGUGAUGAACUACCCUUAUAUUUUUUUUUCUGUGAUGAACUACCCUUAUCAUUUGCCACUAGAGCAGUUUGCUCUAUUCAUGCCCUGUUUAGUUUGCUCUACGAAAAUAUGCAAAGAUGGCUACUAACAGCUGCAAACAUGUCAUUUCAUCAAUUAUACCGUGUUACCAGUUUAGAGAAAGUGGCAAAGCACAUGCUUUCAUAUUAUUUUCUUUCCAAACUUCCUUUUUGUGGUGUUUUCUAAUUUGUCUCUCUGUUUCCUGAUGCUAACUCAAGUGCUGUUAUUUAGCUUACAAGGCUGGUGAUCCUCACCAUGGAGAAACGGGGAACCAGACGUUGGAGAUUUAUUAAUUUCUUCAUAUGUAAAAAUGGAUCUUGUAAGCAUGAAGAUGUGCCAUGUAGCUAAUACCAUCAAACUCUUGUUACCUCAGCCAAGUUAUUUUAGAUAUAUUUAAUAAUUGCAAUAUUCUUUAACUACUUGAUCAGAACAGCUCCUCAUACUGACAUGUUACUGAGAUAUUUCCUUUGUGUUUCCUCUAAUAAUUUAUGGAACCAUUUAUUAAAAAUUGUAUCUAUGUGGUGUAACCCUACGUGCAUGGACUGUUACAAGGUCAUGGUAAAUUAAGCAGCCCAAUGUGUUAAUGCAAUUGCUAUUCCUUGUAGGCAUCACGAAAUGUUCAGACUAAAUUUGAUAUAUCUUAUAAUUCUACUUGAAAAGAUGAAUAAGACGAGCCAUUCAAGGAAUUGCCAGUCUGAAACCAUGUAGUGAGUUGAGAAACACAAUUGCGUUAGUUGCAGCCAAUUCAGAGGCAUGCCCGAUGAAUGUGGUUUAACAUGCCACCAUGUCGGGUCAAAUGCAGAACAGUGGACAUUUGUGUAUUUGUUCGAAAAGGCUAAAUAGUGUUAGUUUCUUUCUGCCACAAGUACUUAUACAGUUAUACUAAAUCUGAUACAUGCAUGAUAACUUACUUUCACACUGAGCAUUUUAUUUUAUUUUAUUUUGCAUUGUCUGGGAUAGGAACCUGUGCGCUGACAUUUUUUUGUGUGCAUUGGCAACCUUCUGUUGUUGUAAAGCUGUCUUCAUUUUUACUCGGGGCCUCUAAUAGCAUUGUUGCAGAAUGGUUUACUGAAAGUUUUGGACAACACAGCUGAUACUGUUCUAUCGACAGUUGAAUCUGGCAGCUGCUUGUGCAUUCAGUUCUUAAUUCUACAAAUGAAGAUGACAAGACCAUAGUUCACGGGCUGUAGAUUGGCUUUAUAACUCAAGCGAUUUGAAUUCCAUGCCCCUGUUUGUUUGGGCUAAAGCUUCAGGUUUUGCUACUUCUAGCUUCCUAGAAGCACAAGCUGGAACAAACAUCAAAUUUUGUAAAGGGCGGGGCGCUUGGGUUUGGGUCACCCUGCCGCCACCAUUUCCGGCCACCCCACCGGCUGGACCAGCAUACCUCGCAUUCUGUGAUCAGUUCUUCGUAACUGAAUAACAUCUCUGUCGGUUUGUUCAUCAUGUUAUCCUUCGUAUUCUGUCUCGCCAUUCUUAAGUCGAUAUGUUUGUCCGUUCACAUGUUUUUCAUCUACAGCUACUUGGUGAUUCUCCUCACGUCAGUUCUGCUAGAUAUAUCUCAGUAGUUUGUACUCCCUCUGUUUCUAUAUACAUCCGUAUGUAGUUCAUAUUGAAAUCUCUAAAAUGUCUUAUAUUUAGGAACGGAUGGAGUAGUAGUUUUCCCUCCAAGUCAGUUUCAUCCUUAGUUUUAUCUCUACUUGGAAUUGCCUUAGUUUUUUUAUUCCUCUGUGUUGUGUUGAGAGAUAUUGUUUUUCUUCAACGCCCGCACUGUUCAGGUCUGUUCAAUCGACGCCAUAUGAGAUGUGGAAUAGGACAAAAAUCCAACUUGUCUUUUCUUAAAAUGUCUUAUAAUAAAUGUAUUAUUAUAUUUUCAUUUUGCAUGAUUAAGUUCAUAUUUUUGUGCUAUAAUUGCAUUGAUUCUUGAAUGUGAUAUUCGGAGGAAAACUCAAUUGGCAGCUCCAUAAUUGUUGUGGCAAAGUGAAUAUAUUUCUUGGUUUUUUUUCCAUGGCCUAUGCCAUGGUCCCUAUAUAAAAUGCCAUGUUGAGUUUUCCUUGUGUUUUAAUUUCAAUAAACAUGUAUAUAUCAUGGCAAAGUUAACAUGUGUCCCCAUAACAAAAAAACAAUUAUAGACAAACCAUGCCAUUUUUGUGUAGAACCCAUUGCAUUUUUUUAUUAAGUGCAUGGCAUUUUUAUUAUAAAUAGCAUGGGAUUUUAUUUUUCAAAGCGCAUGCCAUUUUUUAGCAGAGCAUGUCAUUUUUAUUGUAAAAUCAUGACACUUUUAUUUUUCUGAGCAUGACACUUUUAUGUUACCAAGCAUGGCAUUUUUAUAGUGUGUCAUUUUGAUUUUGUAGAUCAUGGCAAUUUUGUAGUAAGAGCAUGGCAUUUUUUUAUUGUUAUUGUUUUGUAGAACAUGUUAAGUUUUAUGAGAAAGAGAAUGGUAUUUUUUUUAUUGCGAAGAACAUGCAUUUUCAUUCUUUCUUUUUUUAGAUAGGAUGGCAUUUUUUAGCAUAUCAUGGUAAUUUCAUCUUUGCAUGGCAUUUCAGGUACAAACAUCACGGGCACCUUUUUGUGUGCAUACAUUUUUUUUGUUUCUAUAUAUUUAUGGCUAAUUUAUGUUCUUUUUAUAUUAUUUUUUGUGACUAAUCUAUGUUUUUUUUUUGCAAAAUGAUUUUUUGUGCACACGAAUGAAACCGUGUGCACAUCAAUUUUAUUUCAAAUUAAUAUGCAUUUUUUGGCUUAUGGGAUGACACUGGGAGGAGGAGGCCCAGUUAACAGCUUGACAGGCUAUCUAAUCGCCUUGGGGGUUCUCCUCACAGCGAUAGCUGCUUCCCUGACAGCUGAACUGUUAGGAUUUAAUUAAUUAUAAUAAUCCCUAACCAAGACGGUUGCAUCACGUCCCUACGGGCGCACCCCUUCGGGGGCUAUAUAUAUAUAUGUAUUCCCGUAUCAGUAGGGCUUGCUUUGCUACUUCUCGCAAAAAAGAAGUAAAGGCUUUGCUACACCUACGUAUAUUCUAGGUAAAGCUACGUAAAAACUGAUUUGGGAUGAUUUGAUUGGAAGGAAAAAAUAGCCCGGGCAUCACCCUGUGAAAAUCAUAUAUUAUUUUUGUGUGAUAGACAAUUGUAUGCGUGAGGUUCGCUCCAAAUUUCAACUUAUUUGGACAUCUGAGCAGCUCUUAACAAAAAAGAAAAACAAAUCAGAUCAGAACAAUGUGUGAACAGCAAACUCUUUUACAAAUCUGAAUUUGUCUUUUUUGCUGAGAGUUGCUCAUAUGUCCAAAUAAGUUGAAACUUGAAGCGCACCUCACGCAUAAACUUAUCUACCAUGAAAAAAUAGAUUUAUUUUACUUUUUUAGUAUUUGUUUUGAUUUUUUUCAUCCGGGGUGCAGAUGAGCUCGGGAGCAGAAACGCCGCACUCGUUUAAGUUUACCUAGAUCGGUACGUAGGUGUAGGAUUAUUGUAUCAGUAAAGACAACUGUUCGCUUAUACUCCCUCCGUUCCGAAAUAUAAGUCUUUCUAGAUAUUCCAACAAGUGACUACAUAUGGAACAAAAUAAGUGAAUCUAUAUUCUAAAAUAUGUCUACAUACAUUCGUAUGUUGUAGUUCAUUUGAAAUGUCUAAAAAAAACUUAUAUGUAUUUAGGAACGGAGGGAGUACAUUGUGUGGACUCUCUCUCGAUUGUCUCUCGUUUUUCUGUUAACAGACAGAAGGUCAGUUUUGUUACGAGACGCCCUAGCUUUUGCUUGAGAUUCCAAAGCCCCAAACCCUCCUCCUCGCACGCCACCUUGGCCCCGCUGGCUUCCCGCCUCCCUCCGGCCCCUCAUGCUCAUGGCCGCCGCCACCUCGGCCGCAUUCUUCUCGUCCCGGGCGGCCACCGCCCAAUUGCCUCACGCCGCCUCGGCCGCGGCCCGCAGGGGGUUUGUCUCCUUGGGCAGGGCCGCCGCCGGCGGUUUCUCCUCCGGUAAUGCAUGGCCCUUCUCUUUGGCUUUCGUCGCGCUGCUGGUUUGCUUUGCCACUCGAUCGAUCGGGACAAUUUAAGCAGAUGGUUGAACAAUUUAAGCACCGUUAUAACUUUGUUAGAUUGGAGGUGAAAACUUCUGUACAAGCGCUUAACAAAGAUGAAAGAUCUCUCUCUCUCUCUCUAAUUAAGCACUCAUGUAGGUAUAAAUUCAGGGCUAAAUUAUCUGUUGGAAGGUCUUUUCUCUGUACCUUUUGCAGUAGUAAACUGAUGGUGGUGUGCCCACCCAUGUUGCUGCUGUUGAACAAGCAGUUGUGCAGGAUGCUACAAAGCCGGAAGCUCCAGUUGCUGUCGUUACAGGUGCUUCCAGAGGGAUUGGAAAAGCUGGAUGCAAGGUGAGCUACUUUUGCUGCCUUAAUUAGGUUGUCAUUCUGUAUGUGCAGAAAGAGUCGAUUUCUUCCCCCCUCUUAAAAUCGGUGCCAUUUAUUUCCGAAAGAUGCAACUUCACAUUCCUCUAACUCAAAGCAAUAGAUAUUCUUAGAUGGCCAGAUAUGUGGUUUUAUAGUUAUAACUCUCUCUGCUUGCAUAUGCAAAUGGCUAUUUCCUCCCCAUUUGCACAAUGCUAAAUUUAACCCCAGGGACCUCACGCCGACUUUGCCUGCAGGUCCUAGUGAAUUAUGCACGAUCCUCCAAAGAGGCUGAAGCAGUCUCCAAAGAGGUGAGCUGGUUGAUUAAAACAUAAUAUUUGCACAUAUAUUUUGUUUAAUAUCUGCUUACCCGUCUGUUAAUUUGCAUCAUACAGUUAUAAGAUAUACGAAGACAGACUGUAACUGGUGAUUGCAAUAAGUAUUAUUAAAUUAGUUAGUCUACGUUGUUCUUUCAUUUGCCUCGUACAGGAAUGCGUACGAUUGUUAUCAUUUCUGACCUCUUAUCUGAGUAAGAAAAAACACAGUUGUGCUGAAUUUUCAUUCUCAUUCAUGAGCAAGUGAACAUGACCCUUGUGUUAUGUUUCAGAGAUCAUACAAUGCAAUGUGAAAUAUAGUCAUAUGGUAUUAGUUUCGGAAAAUCUCAUUGGCCCAUUGUAAUUUCUUGUUCAGACUAGUAUAGAUGGUAGCAAUAAUAGUUCACAAAGGCUAAAAGAAAUCAAUUGUAUUUUUCUAAUGUUGACUCAAUAGUUAUUCUGGCUAAAAUAUGCUGAUACCGCCAUUGAAACAUUAUUGGUUUUGGGACAGGCAUCUUUUUUUUAUUUGUUAAAUUGAUCUUUUUCUCUUCAUUUUUUCUCUACUAAGCCUAAAUGCACUGAUCUAUUUGCAAUGUAAUCCUCUUUUGCAGAUUGAAGCAGCUGGUGGUCAGGCUAUUACCUUUGGAGGAGAUGUUUCUAAAGAAGCUGAUGUGGAAUCUAUGAUGAAAGCAGUAAGUUCUUUUUAUGGAUGGAAAAUGUUUUUCCUUUUGCAUAUAUAUUGAUCAGAUUAUACAAACUUGGUUAUCAUUAGUCUAUGGAUUUCACCAGGCUCUUGAUAAAUAGGGAACAAUUGACAUCCUGGUAAAUAAUGCAGGUAGGUACCAACAGUUAAUUAGUUUGCACCAGUUUAGCUUUCUACUGUUAAUUUUUUUCUGUAUGUGAAAUAACAUUCCGUAACCAGGGAUUACGCGAGAUGCCUUGUUGAUGAGGAUGACGGAAUCCCAGUGGCAAGAAGUAAUUGGUCUAAAUCUUACUGGUGUUUUCCUCUGUACAAAGGUACGUGUUCGUCCCUUUAUUUCUUGAAAAUUUUGUACUUGAAUAAUGUUUAUGCUUCUCAAUUACACCUGCACAUUCUUUACAGGCUGCCACAAAAAUAAUGGCGAAGAAAAAGAAGGUUCUUGUUUUGUUUCAUUCUUCGAAUUGGUUUGAACAUUUUUGCUACCAUGCGCUACUUGUUGGAGUUUAAUAUUUUUGGUAUGUGUUAGCCACUGGUCCUAUUAAUCAUACACUCCCUCUGUCCCAAAAUAAGUGACUCAACUUUGUACUAACUUGAUGACGGAGGGAGUACUUCAAUUACACCUUUGCAAGCUUCAUAGCUGUAUCCUUACUUCAUAGCUACUAGGUGAUUCAAUUACACUUAACUUCAUAGCUGAAGGACAAAAAGGUGGCCUCCUUACUUUGCUUUAUUGUGUUUCUGAAAUACUUAGAGCUGAAAGAAAAUUUGUAUAAGGCCAUACCAUGUUGCUAGUGCACCAAAGCAAGAGAAGUAGUUUAUCCCUUUUAGACUUAGUAGGAUACUGUGUUUGUUCUUCAUAAAAGAAGCCCUGCUCAGAAUCAGAAGUCAGCUAAUCAAUUUUUUUGUCAUCCGUUAUAAGAUACUUAUUUAUAUUUAAUGCAGGGAAGAGUCAUCAACAUAGCAUCAGUUGUUGGUCUUACUGGCAAUGCUGGGCAAGCAAAUUACAGUGCUGCCAAGGCUGGGGUCAUUGGUUUCACAAAAGCAGUUGCUAUGGAAUUGGCAAGCAGGAAUAUCAAUGUGAUCUCUCCGUCUUUUCAUUGUUAGCUCGUAACUCAUAAAACCGUAGUCCAACUUCUGAACAGUUUUCAAUACUCAGGUGAAUGCAACCGCACCUGGAUUCAUCGCAUCUGACAUGACCGCUGAACUUGGAGAGGAGCUUGAGAAGAGAAUCUUGUCAACUAUUCCCUUGGGUAUGCAUCUUAAGCUGCAACCUCUGCUUAAAACUAGCAUUGUUCAUAUUCUGACUGUUGUACAUAAAUCCUAAGUGGAGCAAAAGAAAAAAAUUCUUGAGAAAAACUUACUGUAUAGUAUUAUGUUAUGUACAUGUGCGCCCUUGUGCACUAUAUCUACUAAGUGAUUUUUUCCAGUCGGCACUAAUGCUUCAUUCAACAACUUCACAGGGAGGUAUGUCCAGCCACUGGAAGUUGCUGGGUUGGUUGAGUUCUUGGCCUUGAAUCCUGGGGCGAGCUACAUCACCGGACAGGUUGGUGUAAUAUUGACAAUGUUCGUGACAAUUGGUUAUGUGAAACUUAACAGGUUUUUUAUUGAACUAUCUCUUGGCAGGUGUUUGUCAUCGAUGGUGGGAUGGUAAUGUGAAACCUUUACAAGCUUCAUAUAUAGGUUGACAUGUGCUCCACCUAGCGGGAUGUUUUAUGUGUGGUGCGUCCACUACCGGAACAGGGUGCUACCCCGACGGCCAAAACAAUGCCGACGGCCACCGUUGGGUUCCUCGGAGAUAUGCCGACAGCCUGGUCCUGGCCGUCGGCGUAUCCAGGCCGUCGGGUUAGACGGAGCUAAGCCGACGGCACCCGUCGGCAUAGAACGGCCGUCGGCCUAUCUGCAAGUACGCCGACAGCUGCCGUCGGCUUACAAGGGCCGUCGGCAUAGUCGUGGGCCUGGCGACCCCGCUGUUGACGGGCGGCUAACGUCGUUAGAGCUAUGCCGACGGCCGAGGCAGGGGGCCGUCGGCAUAGGUCCACACGCCACGUCACCGAUCCAGGCCGCACCGUCCAAAACAUAUGCCGACGGCUGCCGUCGGCAUACCUAGCCGUCGGCAUAGGUAGACUUUUUUUUCAUAUAUAUUUUUUAAGCUUUUUAUGUAUUAUUAUAUCAACUAACAUGUAGCAUGUUAAAUAUAAACAUACAUAUGAAUAUAUAUGUAGUUUUUUUUCAUAUAUUAUGAAUAUAUAUAUAUAGUUUGUAUUUUUUCGAGCACGUUAAUAAUGUGCGGUCAUGUUCUUUUGAAUAUAGAUCAUUAUAUUUUAUUAAAAUCAAAAACAGCUAUGCCGACAAAAGUUUUGUGGCAGUUGCAAACGCCCGACACCCGUCUUCAGAGUGUGACCCCCCUCACGUCCGCGGUGUGCCCCCCUCAUGGACGGCGCCGGCACCUGGAGGGGGGAAACGGACGCGUCGGGUCUACACGGUGGAUGUAGCUGUGGGUUUGGCCCGGAUGUUGCUCCCGGGUGUCCCUACGGGCCGACCUGACACAACCGGGGCCUCUAAUAGCAUUGUUGCAGAAUGGUUUACUGAAAGUUUUGGACAACACAGCUGAUACUGUUCUAUCGACAGUUGAAUCUGGCAGCUGCUUGCGCAUUCAGUUCUUAAUUCUACAAAUGAAGAUGACAAGACCAUAGUUCACGGGCUGUAGAUUGGCUUUAUAACUCAAGCGAUUUGAAUACCAUGCCCCUGUUUGUUUGGGCUAAAGCUUCAGGUUUUGCUACUUCUAGCUUCCUAGAAGCACAAGCUGGAACAAACAUCAUUCCGGACCCGGUUCUUCCUUGUGUGACCACACAUCCAUCUCAGCAUGAUCAUCUUUGCUACACCUAAAAAGAGCCUCCUCAAAGCUUAACUCCCUAAUUUUUUUAAACACAAAUUCAUUUACUUGUAAGCCAUUGAGUUAAGGUUGACUACUCAAGUACUUCACUAAAUGAUAUUUUGGGCACAUAGUUCACCAGUUCCUCACUAAGAGAAAGAGAACUGGUCCAAACAGGACGACAAGAAAAAACACACACUUCAAUAGAUAUACAAUUUUGACUGCUUCUACAAGUCCAAUCAAUAAUUUCUCCAUCUUCUUAUGUUCAUUGCCAUCACUUUUUCCCUUCUCUAUUGACUUCUCUUGUCUAGACGCUUUUUUCUUCUCUGCUUCCUCAUGAAGAAAUUUAGACGUUGCAUCCACUGUAAUCUCAUUUCUAGCAAUCAGUGUGCCAACAACCAAUAGACCUCUCUUGAUCAUCGAUAGACAAAUGUAUUCUUCUUCGCAAAACCAAAACUUGCAUAUAUUUUUUGAGCAAAUCAAAACGAAAACUUGCAACCUUUCUGCAUAUAGUACAAUAUUAUAUGAGCAAAACAAGCGUGUGGGCCACGUGCCAGGUACGGCCCGAUUAGAUAUGUGCCGGGCCAGGCCCACCACGGGCCGGGCACACAUGCUAACGGGCCGCCGCUGCCGCCCGGCGCGCCAGCAUCGCCGCCAUGCUCCGCCUCCGGGGCUGCAUCCUCCCCCGCCUCCUCUCACCUCCCGCCACCCCCCUCCACCGCCUCCUCUCCGCGGCCGUUUCUCCGAGCCCUCCUAGCUUUGCCGUGGAGGAGUACCUCGUCGCCACCUGUGGCCUCACCCCAGCGCAGGCCCGCAAGGCCUCCCCCAAGCUCUCCCACCUCAAGUCCCCAGCCAACCCCGACGCCGUCCUCGCCUUCCUCGCCGGCCUUGGCCUCUCCGGCGCCGACCUCGCCACCGCCAUCCGCAAGGAUCCCAGGUUGCUCUGCGCGGGCGUGGAGACAACCCUGGCCCCCAAUGUCGCGGAGCUCACCGGCCUGGGUCUCUCGCGUUCUGAGAUCGCGCGCCUCGUCUCGAUCACCGGCACCAGUUUCCGCUGCAAAUCCAUCGUCUCUGGACUGCACUACUGCUUGCCCCUCUUCGGCUCCUCAGAGAACCUCCUUCGGGCCCUAAAGAGUGGCUCCAUUCUCUCGUCCGACCUCGAGCGAGUGGUCAAGCCCAAUGUCGCCUUCCUGCGGGAGUGUGGCCUGGCUACUUGUGAUAUUGCCAGGCUCUGCAUACCUAUGCCAUCGCUGCUCAGCAUCAGCACGGAACGCAUCCAGACAGCAGUGGCGUGCGUCGAAGGUCUUGGUGUACCCCGUGGAUCUCCAAUGUUCAGACAUGCACUACAAGCUGUUGCAUUCCUCAGCCAGGAGAAAAUCACCGCCAAAGUGGAGCACUUGAAGAAAGCGUUCAGGUGGUCGGAUGCCGAGGUGGGUAUUGCCGUUUCUAAGGCUCCAACGUUGCUGACGAGGACCAAGGAGUCGCUGCAGCGCAGGUCUGAGUUCCUCAUCUAUGAGGUGUGGUUGGAACCGGCAUAUAUUGCUUAUCGUCCGGCAAUGCUCACUUACAGCUUGGAGGGCCGGCUCAGGCCCCGGUACUACGUCGUCAGAUUUCUCAAGGAAAAUGGAUUGCUAGAUCACGACCGGGACUACUAUGCUGCAGUCAUGAUCAGCGAGAAGGUAUUCGUCCAGAAGUUUAUAUGCCCUCAUAAGGAUGCUGCACCGCAUCUCGCUCAAGAUUAUGCAACAGCUUGCAGAGGGGAGGUUCCAGCUAGAUUCAGUUUUACAUGAACCAAGACUAAUAAGAAAAUUGGUAUGUUCAUUAUGUCAUUCAGUAGAGAAGAAACCAUCACACUGCUGUGAAAUGGCCAUUUCAGUUUUGAAUGCAAUCCUCAAUCAAUAUUUCCAUGAAAGAAUGGUCUCAUUUUGGCCAUAAAGAUGAUAUGAAGUCUCUACUUUUCUUUGGAUGGAAAUUUUGAACCUCUUUUUCCUUGGGAAACAAUUUUGGAUUUGUUGAUGUGCUGAUCACUGUUGAGGAUCCAGUGGGAAUACGAAGUACAUAAGAAGUACAUACGGAUGUAUAUACGAAGUACAUACGGAUGUAUAUAGACAUAUCAAUAAUUCCUAAAUAUAAGUCUUUUUUAAAGAUUUUAAUACGAAGUACAUACGGAUGUAUAUAGACAUAUUUUAGAGUGUAGAUUCACUCAUUUUGUUCCGUAUGUAGUCCAUAAUUGAAAUCUCUAAAAAGACUUAUAUUUAGGAACGGAGGGAGUAUCUUAUAAUUCCCAUGUGGGUAUUUACUUCCGUAACUAAAAUACUAGGAUACACAAGUUAGACAUUUUGCAAUUGGCCAAGCAAUUGGUCUACCUCUUUUUCAGAUGUUGUCAAUUUCUUAUGAACUCUUUCAUUUUGUUUUCUAUCUGGAUGGCCAUAACAGUUGACAAAAAUUAAUGGGUUUCUCGAAAAGGUAAAGCACCAUCUCAGUAUUUUUGUCCAUGAGAUAAGUUGCUGAUAAUCGAUUCACAGUACUGUUAGCAUUUGUGUAUCCAGUGAGCCAGUGUUGUGAUCUAUUUCAGAGUGUAGUAUUAGAUGGGUGAUGUCUACACCAGAAUUACUUAGCUUUCUUUAUCAGGAUUGUGUGGCCCUGUUGCUUCUUGGCAUCAUUAAUAGCAAGUGGCGUGCUCUUUACAAACGGAACUACCCUCAGAUAUACCACGAGGCAAUAGAAUGGAUCUUAAGCAAGCAAUCUCAAUCUCUACUCCAUAGAGAUAACUGUUAUAAUUUCUGGGGUUAAUUCAGAGUGGUGCUCUAUCUACUGUUGGCACCUUGCCUUCAUUGUAGUAAGUACAUACUAGAUAAAUAGAUGUAUCGUGAUUUCCGUGAACUGUUCUUCCUUUGCACAUUAUGAAAAAAAUUGUAACUAGAGAACAUUCUGUUGGUCUUGGUCGCAUAUGCACGGGUUAUUUUUGCAGCCAAGUGGACCUCCAUGGUUCAAUUGCUUCUAGAAGAUAUGACAGCUGUGAUUUUACAAUCUUUCAUCUGAAGAUGGCCUAGCUAGCUUCAAGAGGGUAGAACAGAUCAACGGAGCGCUGUUAGAGCAAGCCAGUUUUGGGCUAUCUCUUGUGAGAAUUUAUGAGAUUAACAUUGGCUGCACACACACUCAUGAGCCCUAAAGUUGUGGACCGUAGGAAUAUGGAAAACCUGAAUCUGAAUGUGGCUUGUACGUAGCAUCAUGAAAGCAGCUAGCUAGCUGAUUCCUAAUGUCCAAUUGACCAGGUUCAUGUCGAAGAUUCUUUGAAGCUGCUGCUCGAGAUAAGAUCUGAUUGACCGCCAGGAAGGUGAUGUGUUUGUUUGUCAAAGUUGUGGCGAUCCGUGUGUGCAGCAACCUUGGGCCUCUGCACCUGCAAGGAACCGUAGGGUCUACCCCCUCCACUCUCAAUUGGGAGGCGUUAGGGCUACCGCGUUUGGACUUGCAGGAGGUCGAGCUUCCCUUCUCCACGAACGAGAUCAAGGACGCCAUCAAGGAUCUCCCCACGGAUCGGGCACCCGGACCGGAUGGUUUCUCCGGUGCUUUUUACAAAGCCACCUCGGAGAUCAUCUUGCCUGACCUCUUUAUGGCCUUCCAGCAACUGCACGAGCUCAACGGGACAGGCCUGCACCUGAUCAAUGGUGCACACAUCGUGCUCCUCCCGAAAACAGAUGCACCUACCGCCAUGUCCGACUUCCGGCCCAUCAGUCUGUUCCACAGUAUCAUGAAGCUAUUCACUAAGGUGCUUGCCACUAGGGUUGCCAAGCAUAUCGACAACCUGAUUUCUCCAGUACAGAGCGUCUUCAUCAAGGGCAGGUGCAUACAAGACAACUUUCUUUUUGUGCAAGGGAUGGCACGCCACUUCCACCGCACAAAGAAGCCGAUGCUACUGAUCAAGCUUGACAUUGCCAAAGCAUUUGAUACGGUAUCCUGGUCAUACCUCCUCGACAUGCUAAGGGCCAGGGGUUUCGGACAGCGAUGGUGUGAUUGGAUUGCCUUGUGUCUGGCCUCGGCCUCCUCCCGGGUGCUCGUCAAUGGUGUAGCGGGGCGGCCGAUACGGCACCGGCGUGGCCUCCGUCAAGGUGACCCGCUAUCACCUUCCCUGUUCAUCCUAGCGAUGGAGCCGCUGCAGCAACUGUUGGUGCAGGCGGUCCAAGUUGGGUCGCUGAGCCGGUUGCAUGGGCAGGUUCCUUCCUUCCACACCUCUAUGUAUGUGGAUGACGUGGCAAUCUUCGUCAACCCCAUCCGAAUGGAAGUGGAAACGCUGCACCAGAUCAUGCAUGCAUUCGGGGAGGCCACCGGCCUCAAGGUGAACUUCCAGAAGAGCACAAUUCUACCUAUCCAGGGUGCACUUUUUGAUGUGCAGAAUGUCACCGAACCAUUGGGGGCCCCCUGUGCGGCCUUCCCAUGCAAAUUCCUCGGACUACCGCUGUCACUCCGAAAAUGGCGCAAGGUCGACCUCCAACCCCUGCUCGACAAGCUGCUGGCACGACUGGCUUGCUGGAAGCUUAAACUUUUCGCGGCGGCGGGCAGGCUGGUGCUCCUCAACUCGGUCCUCACUGCCUUCACCACCUACUAGUUGUCUGUCCAAGACAUGCCAGCGUGGGUGCGCCGCCAAAUUGACAAGGCCAGAAGAGCUUGGCUGUGGCGUGGGCAAGAGGCAUGCCAUGGGGGUCACUACAAGGUUGCUUGGGGGAGGAUCUGUAGACCAAAGGAGCUGGGCGGCCUCGGGAUCCUGGACCUAGUGCGGUUCGGAUAUGCCUUGAGGCUACGUUGGCUAUGGCUCGAACGGACGGCACCGGAAAGGCCAUGGAUAGGUUUGCCUGUCCCAUGCACCCUACAAGAGAGAGUUCUGUUCGCGGCCGCAAUGGCAGCGCAAGUCAGAGACGGGAAGACGGCGUCCUUUUGGUACGACAGCUGGAUGCAAGGGGAAGCACCCUUCCUUGUAGCACCUGACAUCUUCCAGUUGGCACGUCGAAAAAACAAGAUGGUACAUGCAGCGCUCCGAGACAAUAGCUGGGAGCGGGAUGUGCAGGGGCGGGUGACCACGGGGCUGCUGCCCCAAUUUGUCAACCUCUGGACGAGGGUGGCGGCAACGGGCCAACUAUCGGCAGGACAGGAUGUCUUCUCCUGGAAACUAACGGAGUCAGGCAUUUUCUCCACAAGCUCGGCGUACCACAUGCAGUUCUUGGGAUCCACGAGAUCACCCCUCAUGGCGGCAGUGUGGAAGGCGUGGGCGCCGGCAAAGAUCAAGCUUUUCGCCUGGCUUCUUGCCAUUAACCGGCUCCUUACAGCGGACAGGCUAAUGGCGAGGAAAUGGCCAAAUUGCUACUUUUGCCCUCUCUGCAUGCGCAACCUGGAGACCAACAUGCAUCUGUUCCAAGAGUGCACAUGGGCUCGACGCCUUUGGGCGAUGGGAGCUGAUCGUUUUCAAUUACCCUCAUGCCAUCCAGAUAACUGGAGCACGACGACUGACACAACAGAGUGGCUCCUGGGAUUGACGACCAACGCAGCGCACGCCAAGAAGGCCAGGUCCAUCUCUCUGCUCAUAGCUUGGACGAUCUGGGGCGAAAGAAACAACCGGAUCUUCAGAGGCCAAGAACGAUCCGUCGAGAGAGCAAUGGACUCCAUUGGUGACGAGAUCACAACCUGGACGUGGGCAGGUGGGAAGCACUUGAUGCCGCGAGAUCACAACCUGGCCGUGGAGGAGUACCUCGUCUCCACCUGCGGCCUCACCCGACCCCAGGCCGUCAAAGCCUCUGCCAAGCUCUCCCACCUCAGGUCCCCCGCCAACGCCGACGCCGUCCUCGCCUUCCUCGCCGGCCUCGGCCUCUCCGGCGCCGACGCCGCCGCCCUCGUCGCCAGGGACCCCAAGUUCCUCUGCGCCAAAGUGGACAAGACCCUGGCGCCCGUCGUCGCCGGGCUCUCUGGCCUCGGCUUAUCGCGGUCUGACAUCGCGCGCCUCUUCCCGCUCGCCGUCCACAAAUUCCGCGAAAAAACUGUGGUCUCCAAGAUGCACUACUACCUGCGCCUCUUUGGCUCAUCCGGCAACCUCCUCCGGGUGAUGAAGUUCUGCAAUGUCCUCUCAUGCAACCUCGAGAGGGUGGUCAAGCCCAAUUUGGCGUUACUGCAAGGGUGCGGACUAGGUGAUUGUGAUAUUGCCAAGUUGUGCAUCUCUACACCGAGGUUGCUCGCCAACAACCCCAAGCGUCUCCAGGCCAUUGUGACAUGCGCUCAAAAUAUAGGUGUGCCCCGUGGUUCUAGGAUGUUCAGGCACGCCCUGCAUGCUGUUGCACCUUUCAGAGAGGAGGAGAUAGCAGCCAGAGUGGAGUACUUGAGGAACACGUUCAGGUGGACGGAUGCCGAGGUGGGCAUGGCUGUUUCUAAGUUUCCACGGGUGCUGACUAAGUCCAAGGAAUCGCUGCAGCGCAGGUCUGAGUUCCUCAUCUCCGAGGCGGGCUUGGAACCGGUGCACAUUGCUCAACGGUCGGUAAUACUCGGGCACAGCCUAGAGGGCCGGCUCAGGCCCCGGUACUAUGCUGUCAAGUUUCUCAAGGAAAAUGGAUUGCUCAAGCGCGACUCAAGCUACUAUACUGUUUUCAAGGAGUCCGAGAAGGCAUUCAAGAAGAUGUUCAUACACCCUCAUAAGGAAGCUGCACCGCACCUUGAAAAAGACUACGAUGCUGCUUGCAAAGGGGAGGUGCCCACUAAUUUCAGAUUCACAUAAGCCAAGAACGGGCUCUGAUGUAACUGUGUGCUGGUUGUCCGCUGCUGUAUGUCUGUUAGAUGCUGGGUUGGUGGUUGUUAACGAGUGAUGAAGCUGAUAAUUUGAUCCCUGGAUACUGAUAUGUAAUGUCAUCACUCAGCAGAGAAGAAACCAUGGAUUUGAUAUCAACUUUUUUUCGUCCUCAUUCAUGUUUUAGACACAUGUACUGGAACUAAGUAAGUGUGAGAUCAGGCCAUUCUGCAAUGCACUAAAAUUUCAGUUUUCAACUUAGUUGCCUGUGCAUUGAGAUAAUGAGCCAACGUAAAGGUCUCCUUCAUUUGUGGGCAAUGCAUUCCUAAUGUUCUACUACUGAUUUUGCUACUCAUAGUGGAUAAUUUGAGUAUAAAUCUGAUGCCCUUCCCAAAUCUAGGUAAAUAGUGGCUUUAGCUUAAUCUAUUUUUCAGUUAUGGUUUGACAUAAAAAUCGUUUUGGUUUGCCCAUAUGCAGACUCAUAGAGAUCUGUUUUUGCUUUAACUAACAAACUAAAGAUAGACUUAGUCAUUCAACUAUAGAAGGUGUCUGCAAGUGAGUUCUCCUUUAGUUGGAUCAGAGGUAACGAUUUGGAGCCAUCAGUCAUAUUGGAAAUACCUGCAGGACGAAAUGUACAGGGCUCACAUCUGGUUAUCUGCUAAAGAGGGAUGCACACUUAACUAAACAUCAAACUCUCAUAUGGAGGAGGUUUGACAUCAUUUAAGUUUAAGUAAAUAAACUUAAGUUUGUCUGUCCAUUCUUAUGCUAGUAAUGUUAUUGAGACAAUGGAGAAGCACUUGCCGCUCUUCUACCUUGCCGCUAGUAAACUUAGGUGUAUUAUCCUGCUCUGCACGAUGGCCAUAAAUUAUGUGUUUAUUGUGGAUGGCCGCUUAAGAUUUUUAGUUCAUUAUUGUGCUUUGGUCCUGUGGGUAAUUCUUUGUGCCAAGCACCACCAGAAGGUUCACUAGCAGCUACGUCGUGUUUCUUCCUUCUGUGUCUGAGCUAGCUCUUCUUUAGUUUGGCUAAAACUGAGUGAUUAAUUUAUUGCUUUGGUUGGUGUGAUCGUGAAUAUAGGCACCAAACAGUUGGUAUCAUGUACAUCCAUACUCUGAAUACAUGUUCUGAAUUUCUGCAGAGACUGCAGUUCUUGAUUACUCGCCCCUAGUAUUCUUGUUUGUAUGAAAAGCUGCACAUAAUCUGCUAGCUUUUGGGAGCACAUUACUUCCAACUGGCGACGUAAGGUGUACCUGAAUUAGUUUCUGCUAUCUUGGGUGUUCAUCUGGAUAAAGAUAUCAUUGAAGUUCAGUGACGGAUAGUAAAAUUUGAUACCUGUGUCUCUAUGAUUUUCGCAAGGCAAAAUUAAGCUUUUGAACUAUUUGAUCUGAAAAGACAAAUAAUUUCAGUAAUUUCGUUAACUUCAAAAGUAACUGCCAAAGCAUGCUAGAAUUAGUUUAACUUCAAGUUGUCAAGCAGAUAAGUUGUAGUUAUCAUGAUCUGUUUUUUUUUUCUGUAACACAGUUAAGCAUUACAUGCUGUCUGUACUUAAACCUUUCAUAUGUCCACUUAUCUCCAGAUUAGGUGUUUGCUACAUGUCAUUUUGCCCUGUUGUUAUUGCUCUGCUUAUUUUACUUGUCGAUGCAGGGUUAUGGAAAGGCUCCUGGGUGUAAGAAUUGCUUUUGUUGGAGAUGGACGUUAAAGGUGCAUUAUUGUUCAACUGUUGAACUAUUUGUUAUUUUCAGCAAGACACAAACCUGUUGAGGUUUGAUCAAGAUUUUGUUGCCUUGUUGGGAAUGAUAAACGGAUAUUUUGUGGUGGUCCAUGCAGUAAUGCAUCAUACACUUGAGUGUUUAUAUGUUUCAUGAUUCAUCAAGUUUCUCUGACCUAUGAUGAUAUCGGCGGCCAACUAUACAUUGAUUUGUUCUGCCCAGCAAAAUGAUAAACCCGUUCCCCUUAUAAGUUGUAAUUGUUGUGGUUGCUAGCAGAUGCUUCUUUUGCUAUUUUUAUAUAUCUCAUAAUUCCCGUGUUGGUAUUAUGUUCUGUAACUAAAAUGCUACAGUGCACAAGUUGACAUUUGGUAAUUGGCCAAGCAAACUGUUAAGUUUAUUAGUCUACCUCUUUUUCUGAUGUUGUCGACUUCUCAUGAACUCUUACGUUUUGUUUUGUAUCACGAUGGCCAGAACAGUUGACUGAAGAUUAUGGGUUUCUCGAAAAGGUAAAGCACUAUCUCAGUAUUUCUGUUCACGAGACAAGUUACUGAUAAUGGAUUAACAGUAGCGUUAGCAUUUUUAUCCAACGAAUGAGUCUGUUUCGCUCUAUUUCAGAGUGUAGCAUUAUAUGGAUGAUGUCCAUACUUGAAUUACUUUGCUUUCUUUAUAAGGAUUGUAUUAGAGUGUGGCCCUGUUGCUUCUUGGUAUCAUUACUAACAAGCAGGGACGGAGCCAGAAAUAAUAUAUAAAGGGGGCCAAUGCAAGAGAUAAAAGGUUGGAGGGGGCCAAACAUAUAAAUUUAGACCACUUUGUGCUAAUUAUCUAGUGGUGUUUUCAGAAAAGAAAAAUAUUAGCAUACAGGGGGCCAUGGCCCCAGCCUGCCCACCCCUGGCUCCGUCACUACUAGCAAGUGGCAUAUGUCACUUUUACCCGUGCUCUUUACACACGAAAGUACCCUCAGAUUUUAGUUUAUAGAUACAUGUCUGUAGAAUCAGUUGUUGUUGUCAAAGCUGCUAGUAAACUGACUUGAAUAUGCAUUUUCCUUGUUGAUCGCCUGAUUCGUUUUAAGUGGUUGUAGUUUAUAGAAAUGGUACUCCAUUAGUUCCACUGGAUGGUGGGAAAUUAUGUGUUACCCGUUCCUUUGCUCCGUGCUGGUUGCUAGUGCUUCCAGAUAAGCUUUCCUCUAAGCGUUGCAGACCAUUCAUAAAACUCUCUCUGUGAUGCAACAGGCUUAGCGUGGUGGUGCGGAAGUGUCGCAGCUCGGCUGAGGGAGCUACGGACCUUAUCAAGAGCAACGUCAUCUCACAUACGCUGGCGACGAAGAUGCAUAUCUUUCCUGUUAGGACUUGUGAGUCUGGGAGAAGAUGCUAUUUUAUUUAUUUAUUUUUUUGAGAUGUGGAGAAUGUGGUAUUCACAUUUCCUGGUCCUGUGUGAUCCCAAGAGCUCUCGGUGCACUAUCAUGCGAAUCUGUGGGUCUGCCCAUGUAAUAACAGGAUGUUUUAUUGCUUGCAGUCCAAAGGUGGGUGUUGGUUGCAGAGCCCGGCUUUGACAGGGAUUAAACGGAUGGAUGAAGUCUUGAAGAUGGCAGAGAUUGAACCGGGCGAGGCCUGAAGGUAUUUCCCCUGGAUGGUACAUGUGUCCUGGAUGGAGCUGCUGCAUACGCCUUUUGUUUGUACAUUAAAAAAAAGUAUCAAUCCAGCUUUUAGAUAGCUGCUCGAAGAUCAAACUUGACUCAGGCCAAGAACCUGUUGUUUGUAGAUACUGAUACCCAUCACUUCAGAUUUAAUUGUCGAAAUCAUUUGGUAUGAGGAAACAUUGCAUUACUACAAAUUGAUCCCCUUCGAUGCACCAAUGUAGAGCAAGAAACCAUUAAGCUCUAAUUUCUCAGCGAGUCAGUUUAUUGGAUAUUUCGUUCUUCAAAAUGUUAUUGUUUUAAUUAUUAGAGCAAGGUCUAAGAACCAAAAUGCAUGAGUUCAAUCCGGAAUCAGUAACCAUGCUUAACGGUUUUCCAUGCUCUUGCGUGUUUUGCAUUUGAACCUUGCAGAAAACAGACACGGCGAGGAUGCGCUGAAACUGGAUGUUGGUGCAUUCUGCUUGCUUCCUUCCUGGUGAUCGGUUGCUUGCUAUAGGUACUGCCUCUGUAAACUAAUAUAAGACUUUUUAGAUCACUGUAGCACGCACGUGUUGAUGUGGCCUGCCAGAUUCUUUGUUGGCCCCUCUUGCUUUGAUUAGUUUGCACAUUAAGCUUCAUGCUUCCCUUUGCUGAAGACAUGUUUGAUCUAUGUUCACGUCGAAAGUUUUGUAUUCUGAAUCUUCCUUCCUGACCUACAACCCAAUUGAACAAGCUAUCUAUAGUUUUUUUUUUUAGAAUCNNNNNNNNNNNNNNNNNNNNNNNNNNNNNNNNNNNNNNNNNNNNNNNNNNNNNNNNNNNNNNNNNNNNNNNNNNNNNNNNNNNNNNNNNNNNNNNNNNNNNNNNNNNNNNNNNNNNNNNNNNNNNNNNNNNNNNNNNNNNNNNNNNNNNNNNNNNNNNNNNNNNNNNNNNNNNNNNNNNNNNNNNNNNNNNNNNNNNNNNNNNNNNNNNNNNNNNNNNNNAGUUUCCCCACCUGAAUAUAUUACUUAAAGUGGCCAAAAAGCCAGAGUGGUGAUCCAGUUUAUAAGGAAAACCGGAUCGAAAACCUUAACAAAUUGACCUCGUUUAUAAGGGAAACCAGGCCGAAAACCCUAAAGGCACGGCCUAGCUGGCAGACAUAAGACCAUCACCAUAAGAGACACAAGUAGAUGUGAGGUGUCGUCGAGAGAUCACAAUACCAUGACUUUGCAAACAACCGAACGCAUCGGCGGGCAUACCGGCCCCAUGGCACAACUCAGGAGCAUCCACAAUCAACGAGUGUCAUCCCAGACACGAACCUUGACUGGAGCUCCGCCAUAGAAAACACGAACCUUGACUGGAGCUCCGCCAUAGAAAGAACGGAACGAAUAGCAGUUUGAGAGGCAUCUUGCGCCAUCCUUGUGCAAAGAUGAGUCGAGACAACACCAAGAGCACCAAGCUCGCCGCAACACAAGGUAACCAUGAGAGGGUCUUGAGCAACCAUUACCAACCUGAGCCACACGAGAACACCACCAUCGUAGACGAAGAGCUCCAAUCAACCGAGAUCAUCCAUGAUGCCUCAAGGCUAUUGGUGCAGCCGAAAGGCAACGAGCAACCGAGUCCACACUCGGACGAAGAGUCACACACUGCCGAGUCUACAUCACAACAGCGGCACCGCCGGCGAAGCCGAAGGGCAUCAAGGAGCCGAGUCUACACCCGGAUCGCUUCUCCAAGCACACCAGCAGAAGCCGGCCGCGCCACCACCACCGUCCAACCCGCAGUGAGCAGCCACCACACAAUCCACCAAGUUGAUGCCUUCAGGAAGGAAUGCGACGUGAAUAGCGCCGCCAUCGGCCGUUCCGGACGGACCAAGAACAUGGGUUUCCCCAGGAGCCUCGAAGGGGAAGUCACCAUGACAGCGAUGCCUCCAAGGAGAUAAGCGGCACCCGCGGGCGUCACCAUCGCUGGCUCCGGUAGGAGCAGUGGCUUUCGCCCAAGUGAGCAGACCACCUCCGAGGAGCACCGGUAGACUACGAAUCGCUGGUCCCUGCACCACCAUAGAGCAAGGAUCACUGCAGCCCGCCGCCGCACGUGACCAAAUCCGGACCACCGCAGGCCAGAUCCUGCUCAGCCGCCAUUGAGCAGCACCACCGCCUCAGGAGCACCGCACCUUGCCGCCGACGAAGUCNNNNNNNNNNNNNNNNNNNNNNNNNNNNNNNNNNNNNNNNNNNNNNNNNNNNNNNNNNNNNNNNNNNNNNNNNNNNNNNNNNNNNNNNNNNNNNNNNNNNNNNNNNNNNNNNNNNNNNNNNNNNNNNNNNNNNNNNNNNNNNNNNNNNNNNNNNNNNNNNNNNNNNNNNNNNNNNNNNNNNNNNNNNNNNNNNNNNNNNNNNNNNNNNNNNNNNNNNNNNNNNNNNNNNNNNNNNNNNNNNNNNNNNNNNNNNNNNNNNNNNNNNNNNNNNNNNNNNNNGAGGGGCCCCGUGCGCCGCCACACGAGCCGGUCCUUGACCGCCGGAUCCGCUCCAUGCCAGGCCUGAAGACGCUGCCGGAGGAGCCACCCACCGGACCUGCGCCCCAGGCCACCGGGACACCGCCGCCGGCCGCCGAGCAAACCAAAGAAGAGCCAACCCCAUCCUCCACCGUGAACACUCGGCGCGGCAGCAGCACCGCGCCCAGGCCCGACCACCACGCCGCCCGAGCGGCCGCAGCGGCCGCCGUCGUCACGCAGACCGAGGCCGCCACCUCGGGGCUCAAGGUCCACCUUGCUCAACGCUACGGCCGGAGAUCCCCCUCCCCUUAGAGGAACGGGGCCUGCCGCCACCGCGGCAGGGGUCGGCGGCAGGGGAGCAGCGGAGGGCCGGCCUGGCGGCGCUGGGAUCUGGGGGCCCUCGGGUCGCCUCACGAGGGAGACGACGCGAGGGAGAGGUCUAUUCUCCGCCCAAGCUAUCUAUAGUAGGUGAAAGUUGUUUCUGGAUCACUUGGACUUAGCACAUCAUUACUGAUGAAAAUUGUUUCGGCUGCCAUUAGAGAGAAAAAGCAGACUUCGCCAAUUUCACUUGGGUUAGAGCAACUCUAGCAGACCCCGCAAAACGUCCAGCCAGCAAAAAUUUCGGCGAGUAUGCGGGCUCGGGCCAAUUUUGCGGCCAGAACAGAGCCUGCAUACUCGCCCGGCCCGCAAUUUUUUUUGCCACAGCCCGCAAACCGCACGCCUCGAGCACUAUAAGUGCGGUACCGCGGCCCUUUUGCGGGUCCAAACCCUAUCCCCCCGCCGCCGCGAGCCACCCGAUUCCCCUUUCUCCUCUCCCAAUUUCUCGCCGCCGGCGACCCUCCGCCCCGCCUCCAGCCGUCAUGUGGGGGCGAAUGUGGAGCUCCGGACGCGGUUCCGGCAGCAGAUCCGACCGUGAGAGGGACCAGGAGCGCGAGCGGCGCGUCCGGUCCGACGGCGCGAGGAAGCGCGGCGCGCGGAAGUGGACCAACCGCGGGCUUUUGCCGCCGGCGAGCUUCGACCGCUGCGAGACGGUGGAGUACGACCGCCGGCGCGCGGAAGUGGACCAACCGCGGGCUUUCGCCGCCGGCGAGCUUCGACCGCUGCGAGACGGUGGAGUACGACCGCCGGCGCGCGUCGUUCUCCUCCGCGCGUUCUUCGUACGCCGGAUCCUCCUCCUCCUCCGCCGCGGGCUUCCUCCCCGUGAAGAGGGAGUGGUCGGAUGAGGAGGAGGAGCCGGAGCCGCCGGCGCCGUUCGCUCGGCCGAUUAAGGAGGAGCCUGAAGAGCCCGCUGCCGCGGAGUCGUCAGGCCCGAGGACUACGUCGCGGAGUUCGACGCCGUCGCCGCCGCCAUCGCCGAGCGGAGCGUGCGCGAGGAGGAGGACCGCCGGCGCCACGCCGAGGAGCUCGAAGCCCUCGAGUGGCGGCAGGCGGUCGCCGACAACGUCGCCGCCAACGAGAAGGCUGACGAGUGGCGCCGCAUACGUGCGGAGCAGGCGGAGAAGUAUGUCGAUCUUUGCAGCUCUAGCGAGGAGCAUUGAGCGUCUGGCUCCUCCACGGCGUCGUCCAGUUGCCGCGACCUCGCCGCUGUCAGAUCCGACCCCCUAGUACUAGUUUAACGUAGUAUGUAGUAUAACUAUGCUUGUAGUUUGUGAUGAACAAUGUAGUAUGCGAUGAACAAUGUAGUAUGUGAUGAACUAUGUUUGUGCAAUUUCUCUCGCAAAAGUAUUUUUUUCAAAUUAUGCAAGUUUAGAUACGAAUUCUGCUCGGCCGCGUAUGUUUUUGACCCGCAAAAGCGAUUUUCGUGAACCCGCAAACGCGUUUUGCGGGUCGUAUUUUUGCAGGGUCUGCUAGAGUUGCUCUUAAAAAGUUACAAUUUCAUAGGUAGCAAGUAGUGUUCUUUGCCUAGAGGUUACGGAGAUUCAAAUAGCAAGUUCCCGAAGCAACAAGAUCGCACCUAUGAAAUUCACAAUCGCGCCCAGAAUCUGAAUCGGGCCGAUGGAAGAGCGACCCUUCGAAAAUCGUUGCGCACCAUUCUACGGGUACGCCUCGCUCAUCUCAUUGCUCCACUCGACAUGAAUUUUUGACUCGCUUGCAAUUCGUGGCCGGAUCGAUGCUCAUUCUCCCUUGAAUACAACACAUGUGAUCAGUGGUGCUUUUUUUAUUAAAAAGUCGUGAUAAGAAAAGAGAGGAAAAAAUGAAUUAUUUUUUAGUUUUUUUACUCCAAGAAUUAUUUUUAGUAGGAAAAAAGCUGGGUUUAUAUAUAGGAAUACAACACAUCUAAUAUAUUUUUAUUUAUUAGAUGUGGAAACACUGCCUGGCCUGACGGGUGGGGUCAUUUGGUCAUCAUCAAGGUCCAACCAGACCACACCACGCAAACCAUCACCACUCUCUCUCUCUCUCUCUCUCUCUCUCCGCUCGCAUCAACGCGGCCGUUCCCUCGCCGCCGGCGCCACCGCGCCGCCGCCAGCAGAAGUACGCCAUGCUCCGCCUCCACAAGUAUGUCCUCACCCAACUGCUCCCUUCUUCCUCCGCCUCCGCCAUCUCCCCUCUCAGCCGCCUCAUCUCCGCCGCCGCGCCCGCCGUUUCCCCCAACCCUAGCUUCGCCGUGGAGGAGUACCUCGUCUCCACCUGCGGCCUCACCCGACCACAGGCCGCCAAGGCCUCCGCCAAGCUCUCCCACCUCAAGUCCCCCGCCAAUCCCGACGCCGUGCUCGCCUUCUCGCCGGCCUCGGCCUCUCCGACGCCGAUGUCGCAGCUCUCGUUGCCAAGGACCCCAAGUUCCUCUGCGCCGGCGUCGAGAGAACCCUGGCCCCCGUCGUCGUCGGGCUCACCGGCCUCGGCCUCUCGCGUCCUGAGAUCGCACGCCUCGUCUCGCUCGCCGGCGAAAAAUUCCGCGGCAGAUCUGUCGCCUCGAAGCUAUCCUACUUCCUGUCCCUCUUCGGAUCCUACGACAACCUCCUCCGGGUACUCAAGCACAGCCCUAAUCUCCUCGGAUGCGACCUCGACAAGAUUGUCAAGCCCAACGUCGCCUUCCUCCUGGAGUGCGGGCUAGGUGCUUGCGAUAUUGCCAAGCUGUGCAUCUCUUCGCGAUGGCUGCUCUCCACCAACCUCGAACGCCUCCGGGCAAUGGUGGCAUGCGCCGAAGGUAUCGGUGUGCCACGUGGCUCUGGGAUGUUCAGACCGAUGUUGCGUGCUGUCGCAUUCCUCAGCCAGGAGAAGAUCACCGCCAAAGUGAACUACAUGAAGAACACGUUCAGAUGGUCGGAUGCUGAGGUGGGCAUUGCUAUUUCUAAGGCUCCAACGUUGCUGACGAGGGAUAAGGAAUCGCUGCAGCACAGGUCCGAGUUCCUCAUCUCCGUGGUGGGGUUGGCACCAGCAUACAUUGCUUAUCGUCCAGCAAUGCUCAUGUACAGCUUGGAGGGCAGGAUCAGACCCCGAUACUACGUUGUAAAGUUUCUCAAGCAAAAUGGAUUGCUAGAUCACGACCGGGAUUUCUAUAAUACAGUCAUGGUCAGUGAGAAGGUAUUUAUGGAAAGGUUCAUAUGCCCUCACAAGAAAGCUGCAGCACAUCUCGCUGAAGACUAUGCCACCGCUUGUAGAGGGGAAGUGCCCGCCAGAUUCACUUUUACAUGAACCAAGACCAGUAUGAAAACUGGUAUGUCAUUCUGUAGAGAAGAAAACAUCGCACUGCUAUGAACUUGUUCUUCCUUGUGUCAUAUUGACACACAGAUUGGAACUAAGAGAGUGAGAUCAGGGCAUCCUGCCAAUUUAUUUGAAGUAUCAAUGAGUGAGAUCAGGGAGCCUUGGCGCAGUGGUAAAGCUGCUGCCUUGUGACCAUGAGGUCACGGGUUCAAGUCCUGGAAACAGCCUCUUGCAGAAAUGUAGGGAAAGGCUGCGUACAAUAGACCCAAAGUGGUCGGACCCUUCCCCAGACCCUGCGCAAGCGGGAGCUACAUGCACUGGGGCUGCCCUUUUUUAUCAAUGAGUAGUAUUUCUGCACACUCUGUAUCUUUGUGUUCUGAAAUGGCCAUUGCAGUGUUCUCAAUGCAAUCCUCCAUCUGCCUUUCAUGAAAGAAUGUUCUCAUUUUGGCCAUGAAGAUGAUAUGAAGUCUCAAACUUCCCUGGGAGUAGUAUUUCUGUUUCUCACUAGUAAUUUGUUUCAGUUUUCGUUUAUUUGUCUCUUGUAGUUUUGGAUGGCCUUCUGGGUGAUACUUUUCUAGGGAAUCUGAUCUCGAAACCGAAUAGUUGAGUAGUAGGCUAGUAUCAUUUUUGUUGAAAGCCUAUUUGUAUAUCACUAUGUAAACAGAAAAUUCUAAUGCCCUGGUCAUUGUACUGGAGAAGCAAAUGGUAACCUUAAAAAGGGUUAUGGCAUUACCAUGUAAAUUUCUGCUAUAUCUUUUAGCUAAUUUUGUCAUUCCAUAAUCGCACUAUCUAUAUUGAUCGCGAGGGCAUAUUUAUCCCUUAGCAUAUUUGUUUAGGGUAGUAUAGUGGGUCUUAUGUACGUCAUUUUUGCAAAUUUCUAUCUGGAAAGUCAGAAUAGGAAAAGGAAAAAAGCCGGAUGGGAUUCCAUGUAGUCUGGAAUCUUGCAGAAUUUCAAAUAUAGGAAUUACUAUGUGCCUCAGUCUACGAACCAACCUGUGAGGAUGGUGCACAUUUGUUUGUUCCUGAUGUGAGUCUGUGGAAGUUGGAAGAAAUGUGAUCUCUGGUGUGUGCGUGCGGUAAGGCAAAGGAGUGGUCCAUGCUAUACUGGCCAAGAGAUGUGGUUUGAAGAUCAGCUAGCUGUGUGUCCCUUCUGUGGUGCUUGUUGAAAUUAUAGAAACAAGAUGAAUGAAAUGCAGGCGAGGGGAACAGGUUGAUCAAUGAAACAACUUACCACCAGGUGAGGAGACGUGGAGGUUUCCUCAAGCAAAGAGUGGCUGCGCAACAGGAGGAUACUGAUUUAAUGAAUGUGGAUGGUGCUUUCUUUCUUCCAGGUGAAAUGUGCUGAAAGUGGAUAUUGAUGGUGCUUUUUUCUUCUUCCAGGAAAAGCGACAAAACAUGAUGGCUAUGGCUUUGCUGUACUAUACAUGAUUCCGAAGGCCCUGUUAGUUGAUGAUGCCCUGAAGAUUCAGUGACAAGUAUGACCUGACAAUGGCGUAAGUUUUAUUCAGGGAAGCUCCUACAUUUCUCUUUUUUGAAUUUUGCAAGUUAAGUAAUCCGUCUAGUAUUGUACUAGUAUUGAUGUGAAUAAACUAGCAUCUGGUACUUUAAUCAUUUUUUGCAAUUUGCUGGAUCUUCACUUGGAUGUAAACAGUUUGUGCGAGUUAGACAUGCAUGUAAACAGUAUGCAUUAUGCAAAAUUUGUACUCUGAACUCUGAAUUUGAGUCAGAGCUGAACAUUAACUUGAAUCUUUCAGACUCCAUGUGUGAACUCUAAAACUUAUUACCCAAUUCAAGUGUCAAGCUAUGGUAAGCAUUCAGAAAUCUUUGAGGAGCCAGAGGUAACAUCAAUCUUGUUCUAUACUUGAGCGUGUAUGUGGACUUUUACUGUAGGGGAAGUAUAGUGUUUACCAGCUCAAUAUAUAUUGUUGUGCACUUGGCUUCUGUUGCCAACUUUGACCUCAUCUGAUUGUUGUCGUUGCAGUGAGUGGCUGGCUUAAAUCUCUUCCUGGUUCCUACCGGGGAAAGGAAGAUUGCGACUGUCAGAGUUGCUGGGACACUUUGCAGGAUCUGGAAGGCCAAAAGAAUAUGGCCUGUUUCGAGUUGCGACCCCAGUUGAGUGAUUUUUCACAUUUGCUACUGGAUUAACAAGCGUUGGAUGUUGGUACAGGCGACGGAGGGGAAAAAGGGAGGCACCGCAACAGCGCGCAGAGCUCAUGGGAUCUGAAGUGUUUUCCAAUCCAUGGAGGCAGGAGCUUUUCUGGGUGGCUGUAUUUGGUAUUGCUCCUCUUUUGUAUCUCUUUCUCUUGGGCGCUGAGUCUGUCUCUACUAUGAACCGGCUGGUUCAUCGCCGGUUUAAUUUUCUGUUACUGAUGUACAGUAUUCUGUUACAAUGAAUAUCUGAAAAAGAACAUAACAACCAACUUUGCUUCCAGAAUUGCAGAAUAGGCUUAAUAAUUGCAAAAUUCUGGAACCAUGGCAAUUCAGGUUACUCUGGAACUCUGAAUCUUCCUCCCUGACAAUGACAUACACCCAAGCACUGGCGGAGCUAUGUGUAUGGCUGGGGGGCUGUGGCCCCCCCAAGCCUGGUAGCUUUUGUGAAGAAUUUUUUUUGGGAUGGCAUAGAUUGAGAAAAAUAGGGACUUUUACCCCUUCAUAAAGCCAUAUUUUGCCAUUGGCCCCCCCAAUGGUCCUGUGCUAGCUCCGCCAUAGUCUGAUUUGUAUAUUGCCCUCUAACGGCCAAAUUUCAUCAGUAAUGAUGAUGUACUCCUACUAGGACUCUUCUUUCUCUAUAGCAGUACGGGCCAUGUUAUUUACCAAAUGAACUUCACAAAAAGGAAAUUUGACAAGCAAAUUUCACCAGCAAUGAUGUACUAGUAUUGUUCUUUAUAGAAAUACGGGCAAUGUUAUUUACCAACUGUUAGCUUGCAAAAACAACUUAUAUUGUGGGACGUAGGAAGUAGGUGCCACCAUGUUUCCUACUCAUUCUGCGUAACUAGGAUGCACGAUGCGGUUGUGGCCAGAACAAUUUCAGCGUGAUUACAUUGCUUGUAGUCGGGUCAUUUAGGGGCCUUAGCUGGUGAUCCGGGCUGUUUCUCUCUCAACGAUGAAGCUUAUCCCCCAUCGUCUCACUGGCCGACCCCGACCCCUGUUAUUUUUGGGUCAUACCUAGUAUUCAGAGUUUGCCUCGAUUUGGUACCGGAUCAAUGCUCAUUCUCUGUAAACAAAUGUAAGACAUUUUAUAAGUCACUGGCAAGUGACCACAACAUAUUACCAAGGUACCUUCCUACUGUAUUUAGAUCAAAAGAGAAAAGGAAAAAACCUCAAUUAUUUUUGUACAACAACAACAACAACUCGUCUUUACCGAGUGUAGGAUUGGGACGCGGAUUUGGUGAACAUGGGUGCACGCGCACCCUUUAUAAUAUUAAAUUCAAAAAAAUACUAGAAAAAAUCAAGAAAAUCUGAAUUUAUUUUUGUAAUAUACAUACACAGCCGGUACACUCGCAUAUGAAGUUUCACGAAGAAAUUACAUCCGUGAUGAUCUGGGAAAAAAUGACAAAAUCGAAGGUAAUCGAAGUUAUAUUAAAAAACACUGUUUAAUGAAUAGUAUGGUCGCAUUGGUAUUUUCUUCACUAAGAAUACCAUGGGUGUCAAUAUAUCAUGAAACUUCACACAUGAGUAGAAUGAACGACUAAGUUUCAUACUGCGAAAUUUCAAAAAAAUAAUAUUUUUUUCUAGUAUUUUUUUAUGAAUUUACUAUUCACAUGGGUGCGCGCGCACCCAUGUUCACCUUUGUAUUUUCGGUAGGAUUGUCUCUUUUCUUUUUACAAUACAAUACGAGGGAAAUUCGUGUAUGUGCUGCUCCAGCCCAGCCCAUUAUCAGAUCAGAUGUGAGAGACACUGUUUGACGAGUGGGGCCACUUGCUCAGCUUCAGCAAGGUCCGACCAGAUCACACCACGCAAAUCCUCACCCCUCUCUCUCUCUCUCGCACCACCGCCGUUCCCUCGCCGCCGGCGCCCCCGCGCCGCCUGGAUUUUCACUGUCGUGCAUGAAUCGUGCGAGUUUUCUCGUCUGUAUAGCACUGUUCUUUGAAUAAACAUCUAGCAGCAUCUGAUGCUUGGAUGUAAACAUUUGAAAGAGUCACGCAUGCAUGUAAACAGUAAGCGUUAUGUAAAUUUUGUACUCUGAACUUGAAUCAGAGCUGAAUGUUAGCCCUGAAUCUUUCAGACUUCAUGUGUGAACUCUGAAACUUAUUAUACCCAAGACAAGUGUGAAGCUAUAUAGUACUUUAAAAAUCUUUCAGGGGCCAAGUUAACUCGAAUCAGAGCUGAAAAAUAGAGAUCUUACAACAAAGUUUUUUAACUAUGCAUUUUCCCCCAACAGCGACGUUUUAUAUUUGGCUGCCGGAAGCUCUAAUAUGGCCAGCUUUUAUGUGUGGUUCACUUCAGACGCUUCAGGGCCACACCUUGUUUAUCAGUAUUUUCCAUUAUCACAGCGGCAUCUGUAUGACAAGAGUUGUUAUGUUUUUAGAACAUUGGGACUGGGCUCUUGUAUCUUUUUUCAUAAAUGUCCAAUUUAGUUAUUAAAAUGCGCAUAUUUUUGUACAGGUUCACUGAAAACCUGAAAAAUAACAUAAUGAACAACUUUGCUUCCAGGACUGCAGAAUAGGCUUAGUAAUUGCAAAGUCCUGGAACCAUGGCAAUUCAGGUUACUCUGAAACUCUGAAUCUUCCUCCCUGACUUGCGCCCAAGUGAACAAGCUAUCGAUAGUAAGUGAAAGUUAUUUCUGAAUCUAUCUAUAGUAAGUCUGUAGAAAUUUGAACCCUGAAGAAAACAUGGAUGUACUGAACAUUUAAGAGAAGAGUAGAGAGGGAACUAUGUAUUUGAUAGAGAGUAAACAACCCAACCGUUAUAAUUUAACUUUUGAGCUAUCAGCUUAUGAGAUGGCAGUAGGAUUAUCUUAUAUUUUAUUGAUUGUUCUCUGCAAAAUCCAGUGUCCUCAAAUAUGGACUCAGUAUAAUGUUUGAGAGUUUUAUGCAGUGCUACUUUGAUUCAACAGGCAGCCAUUAAGUUGAGGUAAGAGCUCAUAUGGGAGCCAUACUUCAGGAAUGCAUAGUUGAAUUAUCAUUCAAAUUUCCUGUCAUAGAUCACUGUGAUUGUCUUGAAAGAUCACUCUCAUGUUACAGGUCGGUCAUGCUAUAUCGUUGACAUAUUUCUUGAAGACUGCCUCCAGAGAGGCAGUGGAGGAUCUAGUGCAGAAUUUGAUCAUCCAGAAAGGUCGUGCUUCCAUUGUGCAGAGAACCUCAUGCAUGACAAGACGUUUUUUGUUUGCCUUUUGCCGUCACGUUGCCAGCAUAACUGUGCUUGCAAUGCAUUUGGCUGACUAUCUUCCUCCACUGGACAACUUGUAAUUUGCACAAACUUGCCUCCGGAUAGUUUAUCCUUGGCCUAAAAGAACCAAUCGUGAUCUUAUAUUUCAAAUCAGCCAGAGGAAAGUCAGAACAGUCCCCUUGCAGUUAUCCGUUUUCCAUCAUGUGAGUUUUCCCUACAUUUGGUUUCUGAUCCUUUUUGAGAACCCCUAAACCAUGCAUUGCAGAGGAAAGCUAUAUGAUGGCAUCUUGCCUAUCACGAAGGCUGAUUACUGCAUUUUCUUGUUUCCACCGGUUGACGACUUCAUGUUAUUCAAGGUGAGCAUGGCGUACGAGGAUGCAUUGUCAGAAAUUCGGGAGUCGGUAAAUUCAGUUUUGAAUUGAUUUGGAUGUGGACCUUUAUUUCUAUCAAGAAUAAGGGAUUCACAAAAGUAAAGAAAUGCUCCUAACUAGUGCACAGGAAGCAGCAAGAAAAUCUAACUGAUGAAAUGGUUGACUCCAGCUUCGUGAUGAACCAACCCAGCUGCAGGAUUGUCGGCCUAAUUGGCCCCCAGGCCAUACAGAGAAGCGAAAAAGAAGGGGCGACUAGAAAAAAACAUAGGAAUUUAUUUUUUUAAAUCAGAUUUUUUAAAAAAUAUUUCUGAUUUUUUCAUGAAUUUGGAAAAGGUUCCCCGAUUAACAAAAUGCCCACAAAUUCGAAAAAAAAGUUUUUCCAUUUAAAAAAUUGUUCAAUAACUUUAAAAAUGGUUUCCAAACUAAAAAUGUUCAUGAAUUUCAAAAUGUUUCUGUAUUUUCAACAAAUAUUCAUGAAUUUGAAAAAUAUAGAUUUCAAAAAAACUUCCCAUAUUUUUAAAAUAUCCCUUAUUUUAAAAAGGUCUACAAAUUAGAACAAUUGUUCAUGAAUUCAAAAAUUGAAAAAACAAAAACAAAAUGGUAAAAGAUAGAAAAGUAGGAAAAAGGAGAAUGAAAAAACCUAAAGAAACCGGGAGAAAGAAACACAUAAUAAAAGGAAAACCUGAUGCAUCCACAGCACAUGCAUGACUUGAAGCGAUGUCCGGUAGAAAGCGUUAGGAAAGGUGGCAGCUGGGAAAUUUCAUGAUCUCGUGCGGUAUGAUAUACACAAAAAAAAUUCUUUGCUGGGAAAUAUACACAAUAUAUGCAUAUGCCGCUGACAUUUAAAAUCAUACAUCUCUGAAUUCAUGAUUUCGAAUUCUACAAGGAAAUCACACCACAUGCUAUUUCACUGCUAGAGAAGACGAUGCCUCACACUCGAGAUGCUUCAGCAGGGCGGGGAAGAUUACUUGCUGACCAGCAACGGCCUCAGAGCCUUGACCAUGAUACUUAUUUUUGGCCGGUGUUCCUUCUCAUGCUGUGUACAGAGCGCUGCCACUGCAGCCAUCUGCUUGCCAGAGUGUGUACAUAAUCAGAAAUGAAAUUGUUAACUUUUACACUAUAGUACCUUGAGGUUAGAAACAUAGCAUGUUUGAGAAUUGCAACAAAAAGUUCAGACAUGGAGCAUACGUCUCCCUCCCUCCCUCCCUCUCCCUCCCUCUCNNNNNNNNNNNNNNNNNNNNNNNNNNNNNNNNNNNNNNNNNNNNNNNNNNNNNNNNNNNNNNNNNNNNNNNNNNNNNNNNNNNNNNNNNNNNNNNNNNNNNNNNNNNNNNNNNNNNNNNNNNNNNNNNNNNNNNNNNNNNNNNNNNNNNNNNNNNNNNNNNNNNNNNNNNNNNNNNNNNNNNNNNNNNNNNNNNNNNNNNNNNNNNNNNNNNNNNNNNNNNNNNNNNNNNNNNNNNNNNNNNNNNNNNNNNNNNNNNNNNNNNNNNNNNNNNNNNNNNNNNNNNNNNNNNNNNNNNNNNNUGAUUGCAUAUAUUACUGCUAGCUUCUCGGUAGAGCAUGGUAGAAUAUGAGCUCAAGAAUAUACCUUGGCGGCAGCCUUGGGAGGGAAAUCUCCACCAAGUCUCGGAUCCACGCAUUGGUGCACCUUGGAUUCAUCAAGUCUUGGUCGAGCCUGCAUGUCGAUGUCAUUAGAGUUUUUCUACUGCAUCUUCUGAAGAAACACUUCUGCUUCAGUACACCCCCGCUAAACGCAUCAACGGUCGAGAUCAGUCCGUACACAUUCAUAAUUAAGGGCAUUAAAAAUAAUUAAGUCAAGUCUAAACCUAUCGAAACCCGUAUGACCCAUCUGAAUCCGUACGUGUCGUGCAUUUAAUAUGGCCGUAUUUGUACAAAUAUGUACGGGCGUCAUCGCCUACUCCACUUGCUCACCCGUCCUUGUCGGCGGCUAACGGCACCAGCAUACCGGCCUCCACCCCAUCCCAGGCCACGCCGCCUCUCCAUCCUGUACCGGUUGUGCCUCUGCUGACGGACAUGGGCUGCAUCAUCUUUACCUUGAAACAUGUCCUUGCGGCGCAGCAGAUUCAUUCAACCUCCAGCUCGAAGUCCAGGCCCCGUGUGGGUGCGUCAGUGCACAACGACGACAGUUUGAUCUGAGACUCAGAGCAGCCUAAUCCAUGCAAGAUUUCGUUUUUAAAUAGAGUCGUUGCAUGUUUGGGAAGCUAAGGACAGAAGAAUACUAUCUCGUGUUUAAACGUUUUCCUUUGGAAUCCAAUCAGAUUUCUCUCUGUCUAGUCUCCAAUCUAUGUGACGGAUGCUUCCCAGCCAGCGGCGAGAGCAGUUAGGACUUAGGAGGUUCUGCCAUGGAUAGACCGCACUAGUACUAAUGAGUUCCGCUUCAAGAAACGAGUCCCGGGAUGCCGAUGGAAUUGGUUUUGAAUAUGGAUUGGGUCAAAUAGAUCUAACCACCUAAUCAGCCAGCUAAUUAAUACCAGAAAUCUUAAUUAAAUGAUGAUGGAUGAAAAUACCCUUUUUCUAGUUUUUUAGAGGGUACCGGAGCACUACUUCUGAGAAAUUAUAUCCAUGAAUGUGCAUACGUACCCAUGUCACGAGGCAUUGUUGGCCACGGGAUAGUGAGGGAUCAAAUGCCUUCCGACCGGUCAAGAGUUCCAGCACAACAACCCCGAAACUGUAGACAUCACUCAUUGUAGAAAACUCUCCGUACAUUGCAUACCUGACAGAACCAAAGAUUAGAUAAGUAGGAGAGUAAUGAUUUUGCUAACCUGGUAGAAGAAUCUGACAGCAGUGGAACAUUUUGUUGCAUACUCAGGCGCAUCAUAAGCGGAACUGGGAGGAUAAUAUUUUCCUCCAGGACAAUCUGGACGGUCCAAAAGAAUAUUGUCUAUGUAGUGAGGGUGUCUGGAAAAACCAGGGUAACCAAUCUUCGCAACGUCACUGUCAAAGAGAAAUAUGUUGCUGGCCUUGAUGCAACUGUGGAUAAUGCAAGGUUCUGUUUUCUCGUGGAGGCACUCGAGCCCACUUGCAGCACCCAGGGCAAUCUUCACGCGUUGCGUCCAUGAUAGAACGAGUCCUGGUUCAGCCCCCGUAACAUUCUUUUUACCUGUGGUCAUAAACCAUGAGAAUAUCAGGCUUUUUGCGGGAGGAACUAUUCUCCAAUAUUCAGAGCAGUUUGUCAAUUUGAUGAUACUUGUUACAUUUUGACCAAAAAAAAAAAUUGGCUCACAGAGUUCCCAGAUUGAUAUGGCACAAGCGUGAACAUUAACACAACAAACUGCCCCUCUCCCCUAGGGCCUUCCUUGGAUUGAGUGUGAUAUUUAUAUUUAUUUGCUCCCCAGUAUUUUUGUUCAAGUUGAGCUAAAUAUCAGUCAACACACAAAAAUCUGGAAGUAACAACUCACCAUGAAGAAUAUCAUGCAAGGAUCCCCUGGAUGCAUACUCAUAAGCAAGAAGAAAGUUGUCUCCUUCAACACAGUAUCCGAGAAGCUGGAGAAUAUUCUCAUGUCUGAAUCUUGAGACCACUGGAAUCUGCAGCAGAAGGGUGGUAGUUACAAGGUAAGCCUUGUUGUACUGAUAAAUGAAGAGCAUUAACUGGAUUGGGAAAAAGGCGAGGCAAUGCGGUGAGGACCUCCAAAGUAACUUCUUCAGUACUGAGUAUCUUGAUCGCGGAUUUAUUUCCAUUGUUCAGCACCCCGAAGAAACAACCACUGGAUAAGCCCCCUAUUACAGCAUCAUUGCUAAAGUUCCUGGUUAUUUUCUUCAGUUCAUCCAUGGAAAUGGUCGGUACCACAUAUGAUGGAAUUUUGUCAGUGUUCUUGGCAGUAGCAGCGGUAACAGGGGUAGGGGAAAGCAUAUCCUGUGCCUUUCCACUUUUAAUAAGUCCAGAGUUGCUACCUACAUUAGGGAGAAAUUGAAAAAUAAAUGAGAAGCUGUUCAAGAAACAUUCAAUUAUUUAGUUAUAUUAUUUAGCACAAUGAAUAUUUAAUGAGAAGCUGUUCAAGAAACAUUCAAUUAUUUAGUUCUAUUAUUUAGCACAAUGAAUAUUUAUCGACAAGCUACUUAUGUGACAAAUCUUGAUUUUAUUUUUCAACCGGGCUAUCCCCCUUUCCAUUACAUUGACAUAAUGGAAAAAACAAGGUCUGAAUUACAGCAACCAGGAUAUGGGAAGUGACAAAUCUGAAUGUGGACUGAACCACCAAUAAGACUUUAGGUGGUUUACCUUGUGGAUUGAACCACCAAUAAGACACCUUUUAGCACAAGAGGAACGAGAAUCACAGAACAUAUUUAUGGGAUACAAGAAAUUUUUAUAUAUCAAUAUUAUUAAAUAAUUUCUACAAUACACAGUUACUUUAUUGAGUUAAUAUUUAUAAAUGAAUUCAAAUGUGUAUAUAUACGAUAAUCAUCUUCUGAGCCCAGGCUCAUUUGCACCUGCCCUGACGAAAAAAAUCAAAACAAAUACUAGAAAAAUUCAAAAAAUUCCAAAUUUUUUUGCAUGGUAGAUAAUUUGAUGCGAGAGGUCCUCCCCAGUUUACAAAUCAUUUUGAUACCUGAGCAGCUCUCAGCAAAAAAAAACAAAUUCGGGGUCUGUAAAAAAGUUUAUUGUUUCUGACCCGAUUUGUCUUUUUUGCCGAGAGCUUCUUAGAUGUCCAAAUGAUUUGAAAAUUGGAGCAAACCUCACGCAUCAAAUUUUCUACCAUGCAAAAAAAGUUCGGAAUUUUUGAUUUUUUUUUAUGAUUUUGUUUCUGACCGGGUGCAGAUGAGCGUGGGCACUGAAUCACUGCACUCGUAUAUAUACAACUAGUGAGAUGAACUUAACAUUAAUUGAAGGAGAGAGGAACUGGUAUUGUAAAAUUAUCAUGCUAAUCAUACAAGACUUUACAAACUCCUUAUGACCUGUAGAAUUUCUGCCCUUCCGCUGGCGGUAAGCUUUUCUAAUCGUCCUAAGCCUGUCCGCCACCUCAACCAUUUCUGGACGCAUUUUGGCCUCCAUUUUCAAGCAUUCAGCUACUAGCUUUGCGACAUCUUCAAGAAAUUUGAUGUUCUUUUUAUCGUUGGCAAUUUCUUCAUCAAACAUUAGUCUCACCUUUUUCCCUUUUCUCAGGGAUUCAACAAAACUCUGAGCAAGAAUGACAUUCCCGUCAACGGCUUUCUUUCGGGUGAUGAUUUCCAGCAAAACGACUCCAAAACUAUAUACAUCACUCUUCGAAGUUAGAAUCCCACUCUGACAGAACAAAGGGUCCAUAUAACCUAUGCAUCCAAUGACAUGUCUGGUAUGCUGAGUCUCAUCAGCAGAAAGGAACCUUGAUAUCCCAAAAUCUGAUAUCUUUGGCCGAAAAUUUUCAUCUAGCAGUAUAUUAGCGGGUUUGAUGUCACCAUGAAGAACGGGACUAUACAUUGAAUGCAUGCAUGAUAAUACUUCAGCUGACUCAAUGGCGAUGUCCAAACGUUUGUCCAAAGGGAAGGGGACAAAACCAUUAGCAUCGCUUCUGCUGCAGUGAAGGAUAUUGUAGAGAUUGCCAUUGCAUGCAAACUCCAUAACAAUAGUAAGAGCAUUUUCCUCCGUGCAGCAACCAAACAGUCUGACAACAUUCUUGUGAUUUAUCUGGGAAUGCACUAUCACCUCUUUGGCGAACUCUUCUUUCUUGGUUCCAUUUUUGUAUCUCUUUACUGCAACUGGACGAAGACCAUCUAAUUUUCCUUUGUAAACCUUACCAAAUCCCCCUUCUCCCAGCACAGUGCUAUACCCACCAGUAAUGUCUUCUAUCUCUUUUUGAGUGAAAGAUCUUAGAUUAUAGUUGGUAUUCACUCUUUCUAGCACCACUUGUCCAUUAACAUGAAGGAAAUCCCUAACAUUGCUCCCUUGGUAAUCCAUUUGCAAACCAAGAUCAAAUUGGUAAUGCGAGGAGAGGUGCGGCUUGCCUGUGUAUGUCAGAAUGUGAACUAAUAUCAGUGGGCUUACUUGAAAUUAAUUGUUGAAUACUACUACCUCCGUCCCAAAAUAUAAGAACGUUUUCAAUACUAUCAUAGUAUCAAAAACGUUCUUAUAUUCUGGGACAGAGGGAGUAUGUUAUACGAGGGGGAAUUUUACCUCUGCAACAAAAGACAUCGUAAUGUUGGCUUAACUUAGAUUGAUUGCAAGUAGUUUCAUUUUACCAAAAAAAAAAAGAGAUUGUAGAACGCAAAAUGUUACCACUAUCAGUUUGGAAUAGCAUUCUUAUGGCAGGGAAGAAAUCCCCUUCUUGCUGAGAUGGGGCAAGGGGAAACUGAAAAGACCAAGGCGGCGCGAAUUGGGAGGCAGGGAAUUGGGGUUUCUGAUUGUUAUACCUCAAACAUGUGCAAUUGUGCAUUCAUAUCUAGAUUUGAACCGGCAAGAUCUGAGUGGCUAGCUGCCCCUGCCCUGGCGUGCCUCCUCGGAGAAGCCGGCCAUUUGGGUGUUUAGACUGUUGAUGAGAAAUUGCCACCACCAAACAAACAGAACCUGGAAAGGAUCCUGAGCCAAACCCCUCGAAGCAUACUAAAUGUGGAUUUUACUAAUCUAUGAGGCAAGAUGUAUUUUUUCCUACAUAUCCCCGAAAUAUUUUGUGCAGAAGCAUGGUGGAUCAUAAUAAUCCCAUGGAGCCAAAAAUCAAUAUGUAUUACACUUAGUCAAGCAAUGGUACCUGUUAAUUCCUCCUCGGUAGGCGCCGCAUGUGGAUCUGAGAUGUGCUCCCUCUAUUUGCUUGCAGUGCGGGGUGACCGAGGGCUUGAGGGGACGACGCCAGGAAGUCAACUGGGAAGGAGCAGCGCAAUAGAUAGGCUGUGACAAAGUCGCAGUGGGGGGCAAACAGAAUUUUCCAAUUCACCAUCCACAUCCACAUCCACAUGCCCCGGCCCCUUCCCCUCGCUCGCCGGUCAUACAACGGCACGCCGGCGAGCUUGGACAGAAUAUACAAGAGCAGCUUUCAAAUUGGCAAUCCCUUGGAAACAAGCAUCAAGGAAAAAUCUCUGAACCGAUCCAAAAAUCAAUAUCCGACUCACCGGAAGGCGGCAAAGAGGGGAACCGGUGCCCGGCGGCGCCGCGCAGCCUGGAAGAGCAUAUGGCUUGCAGGCCGCGGCAUCGGGUUUGAUUCGCCGGCGACGAGUGCACGCCGACCAGGCAGGCAGGUGGCGGCGCGCUUCGGGCGUGGGCGCGAUGUGGGUCAUGCGGCCGGAUAAGCGCACGCGGUUGGGCGUUGACUCGCCCGAGACGACGACUAUCGACGGCGUGUUUGGCUACAACGGGGAAAAGGAAUGGUAAUUUAGAACAUCUAUGGCCGGCCGCCACCUGACUAUGCUACAAGGGACUAGAAUACUCCCUUCUUCUUUUUAAGGACGCACCACACAGACAUUUAGGGGGUGUGCCGCACGCCUCGUGUGGCAUCGACACAACCCCGUCCGCACGACGACGUCCGGGCGCACCCAACCACAGCCCUCACGUUCGGUGUGUGGCGCAAUUGCCCACACGUCCGGGCAAGCGACCUCGUGACCCGCACAACCUUUCUCGCCCGUCGUCCCUCUCCGCCUGCGAACCACAGUGCCACCGUCCGUCGUCUCCAACCUCUGAAUCGAUCAAUCUUCCCCUACCUCCAACGUCUUCCUUCUUUAGUUGACAUGGCAAUCAGAUCAGAUCUCUAGCGCCCCCUAUCCCCAUCGACGGAAAACACGACAACGAGCUCAUAGGUCGUUCUCCUAUCUCCUCCUCCUUCCCCUGGCCCCCAAUAAUUUUACUUCUAGAUUGCCCACGUAGAUGGCGACUGGAUCCACAGUGUUAUGGCCACACCACUGUUUUGUGUCGCAAGGAUCUACAACUAACAUCAAUUCCGGUCGUUUAUGUUUAUUCCCCUUUGCCCUCCAACGAACACAAAAUUUGCCAUGUUCUAUCCUAGAUCUGAUAUAAGCUUUUAGGUUGGGGUUGCUACUAGUAGGUGCUCGAGAAGGAUGUUUAGGAUUCACUAAGAUCAGGGCAGAACAGAGCAAUUUGGGCGGCACAUAUGGAGGGAAAAAAUUAGUUGCCACCUAUCUUUGUUGUUAGUUGCCAUCAUAUUAUGUUGGUUGUUGCCAGCAGUUCAACAUGAUAGUUGCCAUCUAGAUUGUAGAAAAGAGAAUGAAUAUGCAUGCCCUAUCAACAGAAAUGCACGACUACGAUGUUUUCCUACUUGUCAUGCUGUAUUGGUUGUUUAUGCAAGAAAUGUGAUAAGAUUGCCGUGUUUCCUUUUGUGUGGAAACAACAAAAUGCGAUUCGAAUAGUAAUGCGUUCUUAUUCAUGCAAUGACUGAAAACACAGUAGGAGAAGCAGGAAAAAUGAAUCAUGAAGAUGGGACUGAUCCUUGGUUUUCUGGAAGGCCGCAAGCGCCCCCUUGGGAUGCAAUAGAGUACAAUCAACUCAUUUCCGCCGGACCAUUGCUGCCACUACUAGAGCAGUACGCAAACAUAGGUACGAUGCAUGAUCAAAAAAAGGACAGUUGACAUGUUUGUGGGCUUGAAAAUGGCAUUCUACUUAUGUACUACAAUGCCAUUGUUCGCAGGUUAUGACACAAUCACAUAGGCAGGGAUGUUGUGGCAAGUUGCAACACAGGAGGCUAUCGGUGAUAGAUAUACGGGAGACCAACUUCAAGUAGCAAAUGUGGAAAAUAAAGGUAACGCAAAAAAAUAGCAUACUGAUGUGGUGAAAAAAACUUGCAAGGAUGGCAAGACUUACGAGUUUUUUUAAGAACACGCAGGACCAUCAUGCAUGUUGGGGAACGUAGUAAUUUCAAAAAAAUUCCUACGAACACGCAAGAUCAUGGUGAUGCAUAGCAACGAGAGGGGGGAGUGUUGUCCACGUACCCUCGUAGACCGAAAGCGGAAGCGUUAUAUCAACACGGUUGAUGUAGUCGUACGUCUUCAUGAUCUGACCGAUCCAAGCACCGAAACUACGGCACCUCCGAGUUCUUGGCACACGUUCAGCUCGAUGACGACCCCCGGCUCCGAUCCAGCAAAGCGUCGGGGAAGAGUUCCGUCAGCAUGACGGCGUGGUGACGAUCUUGAUGUUCUACCGUCGCAGGGCUUCGCCUAAGCACCGCUACAAUAUUAUCGAUGAUUAUGGUGGAGGGGAGCACCGCACACGGCUAAGAGAACGAUCACAAAGAUCAACUUGUGUGUAUAGAGGUGCCCCCCCUGCCCCCGUAUAUAAAGGAGCAAGGGGGAGGGGCGGCCGGCCAGGAGGGGCGCGCCAGGGAGGAGUCCUACUCCUGCCGGGAGUAGGACUCCCUCCUUUUCCUUGUCCAUGUAGGAGAGGGGGAAGGAAGGGAGAGAGGAGAGGAAGGAAAGGGGGGCGCCGCCCCCCCCCCCUCCUUGUCCAAUUCAGACUAGAGGGGGAGGGGGCGCGCGGCCUACCCUGGCUGCCCCUCCUCUUCUCCACUUUAGGCCCAUAAGGCCCAUUAACCCCCCCGGGGGGGGGGGGGUCCGGUAACCCCUGGUACUCCGGUUUUAUCCGAAACUUCUCCGGAACACUUCCGGUGUCCGAAUAUAGUCGUCCAAUAUAUCAAUCUUUAUGUCUCGACCAUUUUGAGACUCCUCGUCAUGUCUGUGGUCACAUCCGGGACUCCGAAAAAACUUCGGUACAUCAAAAUAUAUAAACUCAUAAUGAAACUGUCAUCAUAACAUUAAGCGUGCGGACCCUACGGUUCGAGAACAAUGUAGACAUGACCGAGACAUGUCUCCGGUCAAUAACCAAUAGCGGAACCUGGAUGCUCAUAUUGGCUCCUACAUAUUCUAUGAAGAUCUUUAUCGGUCAGACCGCAUAACAACAUACGUUGUUCCCUUUGUCAUCGGUAUGUUACUUGCCCGAGAUUCGAUCGUCGGUAUCUCAAUACCUAGUUCAAUCUCGUUACCGGCAAGUCUCUUUACUCGUUCCGUAAUACAUCAUCUCGCAACUAACUCAUUAGUUACAAUGCUUGCAAGGCUUAUGUGAUGUGCAUUACCGAGAGGGUCCAGAGAUACCUCUCCGACAAUCGGAGUGACAAAUCCUAAUCUCGAAAUACGCCAACCCAACAUGUACCUUUGGAGACACCUGUAGAGCACCUUUAUAAUCACCCAGUUACGUUGUGACGUUUGGUAGCACACAAAGUGUUCCUCCGGUAAAUGGGAGUUGCAUAAUCUCAUAGUCAUAGGAACAUGUAUAAGUCAUGAAGAAAGCAAUAGCAACAUACUAAACGAUCAGGUGCUAAGCUAAUGAAAUGGGUCAUGUCAAUCACAUCAUUCUCCUAAUGAUGUGAUCCCGUUAAUCAAAUGACAACACAUGUCUAUGGUUAGGAAACAUAACCAUCUUCGAUUAACGAGCUAGUCAAGUAGAGGCAUACUAGUGACAUUUAGUUUGUCUAUGUAUUCACACAAGUAUUAUGUUUCCGGUUAAUACAAUUCUAGCAUGAAUAAUAAACAUUUAUCAUGAUAUAAGGAAAUAAAAUAAUAACUUUAUUAUUGCCUCUAGGCCAUAUUUCCUUCAGUCUCCCACUUGCACUAGAGUCAAUAAUCUAGAUUACACAGUAAUGAUUCUGACACCCAUGGAGCUUUGGUGCUGAUCAUGUUUUGCUCGUGGAAGAGGCUUAGUCAAUGGGUCUGCAACAUUCAGAUCUGUAUGUAUCUUGCAAAUCUCUAUGUCUCCCACCUGGACUAGAUCCCGGAUGGAAUUGAAGCGUCUCUUGAUGUGCUUGGUUCUCUUGUGAGAUAUGGAUUCCUUUGCCAAGGCAAUUGCACCAGUAUUGUCACAAAAGAUUUUCAUUGGACCCGAUGCACUAGGUAUGACACCUAGAUCGGAUAUGAACUCCUUCAUCCAGACUCCUUCAUUUGCUGCUUCUGAAGCAGCUAUGUACUCCGCUUCACAUGUAGAUCCCGCCACAACGCUUUGUUUAGAACUGCACCAACUGACAGCUCCACCGCUUAAUGUAAACACGUAUCCGGUUUGCGAUUUAGAAUCGUCCAGAUCAGUGUCAAAGCUUGCAUCAACGUAACCAUUUACGAUGAGCUCUUUGUCACCUCCAUAUACGAGAAACAUAUCCUUAGUCCUUUUCAGGUAUUUCAGGAUGUUCUUGACCGUUGUCCAGUGAUCCACUCCUGGAUUACUUUGGUACCUCCCUGCUAGACUUAUAGCAAGACACACAUCAGGUCUGGUACACAACAUUGCAUACAUGAUAGAGCCUAUGGCUGAAGCAUAGGGAACAUCUUUCAUUUUCUCUCUAUCUUCUGCAGUGGUCGGGCAUUGAGUCUUACUCAACUUCACACCUUGUAACACAUGCAAGAAUCCUUUCUUAGCCUGAUCCAUUUUGAAUUUCUUUAAAACUUUGUCAAGGUAUGUGCUUUGUGAAAGUCCAAUUAAGCGUUUUGAUCUAUCUCUAUAGAUCUUAAUGCCCAAUAUGUAAGCAGCUUCACCGAGGUCUUUCAUUGAAAAACUCUUAUUCAAGUAACCCUUUAUGCUAUCCAGAAAUUCUAUAUCAUUUCCGAUUAGUAAUAUGUCAUCCACACAUAAUAUCAGAAAUGCUACAGAGCUCCCACUCACUUUCUUGUAAAUACAGGCUUCUCCAAAAGUCUGUACAAACCCAAAUGCUUUGAUCACACUAUCAAAGUGUUUAUUCCAACUCCGAGAGGCUUGCACCAGUCCAUAAAUGGAUCGCUGGAGCUUGCACACUUUGUUAGCUCCCUUUGGAUCGACAAAACCUUCUGGCUGCAUCAUAUACAACUCUUCUUCCAGAAAUCCAUUCAGGAAUGCAGUUUUGACAUCCAUCUGCCAAAUUUCAUAAUCGUAAAAUGCGGCAAUCACUAACAUGAUUCGGACAGACUUAAGCAUCGCUACGGGUGAGAAAGUCUCAUCGUAGUCAAUCCCUUGAACUUGUCGAAAACCUUUUGCAACAAGUCGAGCUUUGUAGACAAUAACAUUACGGUCAGCGUCAGUCUUCUUCUUAAAGAUCCAUUUAUUCUCAAUUGCUUGCCGAUCAUUGGGCAAGUCAACCAAAGUCCAUACUUUGUUCUCAUACAUGGAUCCCAUCUCAGAUUUCAUGGCUUCAAGCCAUUUUGCGGAAUCUGGGCUCACCAUCGCUUCUUCAUAGUUCGUAGGUUCAUCAUGAUCUAGUAGCAUGACUUCCAGAAUAGGAUUACCGUACCACUCUGGUGCGGAUCUUACUCUGGUUGAUCUACGAGGUUCAGUAGUAACUUGUUUUGAAGCUUCAUGAUCAUUAUCAUUAGCUUCCUCACUAAUUGGUGUAGGUGUCACAAAAACCGGUUUCUGUGAUGUACUACUUUCCAAUAAGGGAGCAGGUACAGUUACCUCAUCAAGUUCUACUUUCCUCCCACUCACUUCUUUCGAGAGAAACUCCUUCUCUAGAAAGGAUCCAUUCUUGGCGACAAAUGUCUUGCCUUCGGAUCUGUGAUAGAAGGUGUACCCAACAGUCUCCUUUGGGUAUCCUAUGAAGACACAUUUCUCCGAUUUGGGUUCGAGCUUAUCGGGUUAAAGUUUUUUCACAUAAGCAUCGCAGCCCCAAACUUUCAGAAACGACAACUUUGGUUUCUUGCCAAACCACAGUUCAUAAGGCGUCGUCUCAAUGGAUUUUGAUGGUGCCCUAUUUAACGUGAAUGCGGCCGUCUCUAAAGCAUAACCCCAAAACGAUAGCGGUAAAUCUAUAAGAGACAUCAUAGAUCGCACCAUAUCAAGUAAAGUACGAUUACGACGUUCGGACACACCAUUACACUAUGGUGUUCCGGGUGGCAUGAGUUGCGAAACUAUUCCCCAUUGUUUCAAAUGUAGGCCAAACUCAUAACUCAAAUAUUCUCCUCCACGAUCAGAUCGUAGAAACUUUAUUUUCUUGUUACGAUGAUUUUCAACUUCACUCUGAAAUUCUUUGAACUUUUCAAAUGUUUCAGAUUUAUGUUUCAUUAAGUAGAUAUACCCAUAUCUGCUUAAAUCAUCUGUGAAGGUGAGAAAAUAACGAUAUUCGCCACGAGCCUCAACAUUCAUCGGACCACAUACAUCUGUAUGUAUGAUUUCCAACAAAUCUGUUGCUCUCUCCAUAGUACCGGAGAACGGCGUUUUAGUCAUCUUGCCCAUGAGGCACGGUUCGCAAGUACCAAGUGAUUCAUAAUCAAGUGGUUCCAAAAGUCCAUCAGUAUGGAGUUUCUUCAUGCGUUUUACACCGAUAUGACCUAAACGGCAGUGCCACAAAUAAGUUGCACUAUCAUUAUCAACUCUGCAUCUUUUGGUUUCAACAUUAUGAAUAUGUGUAUCACUACUAUCGAGAUUCAUAAAAAUAGACCACUCUUCAAGGGUGCAUGACCAUAAAAGAUAUUACUCAUAUAAAUAGAACAACCAUUAUUCUCUGAUUUAAAUGAAUAACCGUCUCGCAUCAAACAAGAUCCAGAUAUAAUGUUCAUGCUCAACGCUGGCACCAAAUAACAAUUAUUUAGGUCUAAUACUAAUCCCGAUGGUAGAUGUAGAGGUAGCGUGCCGACCGCGAUCACAUCGACUUUGGAACCGUUUCCCAUGCGCAUCGUCACCUCGUCCUUCGCCAGUGUUCGCUUAAUCCGUAGUCCCUGUUUCGAGUUGCAAAUAUUAGCAACAUAACCAGUAUCAAAUACCCAGGUGCUACUGCGAGCUCUAGUAAGGUACACAUCAAUAACAUGUAUAUCACAUAUACCUUUGUUCACCUUGCCAUCCUUCUUAUCCGCCAAAUACUUCGAGCAGUUCCGCUUCCAGUGACCAGUCUGCUUGCAGUAGAAGCACUCAGUUUCAGGCUUAGGUCCAGAUUUGGGUUUCUUCUCCUGAGCAGCAACUUGCUUGCUGUUCUUCUUGAAGUUCCCUUUCUUCUUCCCUUUGCCCCUUUUCUUGAAACCAGUGGUCUUGUUGACCAUCAACACUAGAUGCUCCUUCUUGAUUUCUACCUCCGUAGCUUUUAGCAUUGCGAAGAGCUCGGGAAUUGUCUUAUCCAUCCCUUGCAUAUUAUAGUUCAUCACGAAGCUCUUGUAGCUAGGUGGAAGUGAUUGGAGAAUUCUGUCAAUGACGCAAUCAUCCGGAAGAUUAACUCCCAGUUGAAUCAAGUGAUUAUUAUACCCAGACAUUUUGAGUAUAUGCUCACUGACAGAACUGUUCUCCUCCAUCUUGCAGCUAUAGAAUUUAUUGGAGACUUCAUAUCUCUCAAUCCGGGCAUUUGCUUGAAAUAUUAACUUCAACUCCUGGAACAUCUCAUAUGCUCCAUGACGUUCAAAACGUCGUUGAAGUCCCGAUUCUAAGCCGUAAAGCAUGGCACAUUGAACUAUUGAGUAGUCAUCGGCUUUGCUAUGCCAGACGUUCUUAACGUCGUCAGUUGCAUCAGCAGCAGGCCUGGCACCUAGCGGUGCUUCCAGGACGUAACUCUUCUGUGCAGCAAUAAGGAUAAUCCUCAAGUUACGGACCCAGUUCGUGUAAUUGCUACCAUCAUCUUUCAACUUUGCUUUCUCAAGGAACGCAUUAAAAUUCAACGGAACAACAGCACGGGCCAUCUAUCUACAAUCAAACAUAAACAAGCAAGAUACUAUCAGGUACUAAGUUCAUGAUAAAUUUAAGUUCAAUUAAUCAUAUUACUUAAGAACUCCCACUUAGAAAGACAUCCCUCUAAACCAAAUCAACUAAACCAUAAUCGAUCAUCACGUGAAAUGGAGUAGUUUUGAAUGGUGAACAUCGCUAUGUUGAUCAUAUCUACUAUAUGAUUCACGCUCGACCUUUCGGUCUCAGUGUUCCGAGGCCAUAUCCGCAUAUGCUAGGCUCGUCAAGUUUAACCUGAGUAUUCUGCGUGUGCAAAACUGGCUUGCACCCGUUGUAGAUGGACGUAGAGCUUAUCACACCCGAUCAUCACGUGGUGUCUGGGCACGACGAACUUUGGCAACGGUGCAUACUAAGGGAGAACACCUUUAUCUUGAAAUUUAGUGAGAGAUCAUCUUAUAGUGCUACCAUCAAUCAAAGCAAGAUAAGAUGCAUAAAAGAUAAACAUCACAUGCAAUCAAUAUAAGUGAUAUGAUAUGGCCAUCAUCAUCUUGUGCUUGUGAUCUCCAUCUCCGAAGCAUCGUCAUGAUCACCAUCGUCACCUGCGCGACACCUUGAUCUCCAUCGUAGCAUCAUUGUCGUCUCGCCAAUCUUAUGCUUCUACGACUAUCGCUACCGCUUAGUGAUAAAGUAAAGCAUUACAGGGCGAUUGCAUUGCAUACAAUAAAGCGACAACCAUAUGGCUCCUGCCAGUUGCCGAUAACUCAGUUACAAAACAUGAUCAUCUCAUACAAUAAAAUUUAGCAUCAUGUCUUGACCAUAUCACAUCACAACAUGCCCUGCAAAAACAAGUUAGACGUCCUCUACUUUGUUUGUUGCAAGUUUUACGUGGCUGCUACGGGCUUAAGCAAGAACCAAUCUUACCUACGCAUCAAAACCACAAUGAUAGUUUGUCAAGUUGGUGCUGUUUUAACCUUCGCAAGGACCGGGCGUAGCCACACUCGGUUCAACUAAAGUUGGAGAAACUGACACCCGCCAGCCACCCGUGUGCAAAGCACGUCGGUAGAACCAGUCUCGCGUAAGCGUACGCGUAAUGUCGGUCCGGCCCGCUUCAUCCAACAAUACCGCCGAACCAAAGUAUGACAUGCUGGUAAGCAUUAUGACUUAUAUCGCCCACAACUCACUUGUGUUCUACUCGUGCAUAUAACAUCAACACAUAAAACCUAGGCUCGGAUGCCACUGUUGGGGAACGUAGUAAUUUCAAAAAAAUUCCUACGCACACGCAAGAUCAUGGUGAUGCAUAGCAACGAGAGGGGAGAGUGUUGUCCACGUACCCUCGUAGACCGAAAGCGGAAGCGUUAUAUCAACGCGGUUGAUGUAGUCGUACGUCUUCACGAUCCGAUCGAUCCAAGCACCGAAACUACGGCACCUCCGAGUUCUUGGCACACGUUCAGCUCGAUGACGAUCCCCGGGCUCCGAUCCAGCAAAGCGUCGGGGAAGAGUUCCGUCAGCACGACGGCGUGGUGACGAUCUUGAUGUUCUACCAUCGCAGGGCUUCGCCUAAGCACCGCUACAAUAUUAUCGAGGAUUAUGGUGGAGGGGAGCACCGCACACGGCUAAGAGAACGAUCACGAAGAUCAACUUGUGUUUAUAGAGGUGCCCCCUACCCACGUAUAUAAAGGAGAAAGGGGGAGGGGCGGCCGGCCGGGAGGGGCGCGCCAGGGAGGAGUCCUACUCCUACCGGGAGUAGGACUCCCUCCUUUUCCUUGUCCAUGUAGGAGAGGGGGAAGGAAGGGAGAGAGGAGAGGAAGGAAAGGGGGGGGGCGCCGCCCCCCUCCUUGUCCAAUUCAGACUAGAGGGGAAGGGGGCGCGCGGCCUACCCUGGCCGCCCCUCCUCUUCUCCACUUUAGGCCCAUAAGGCCCAUUGACCCCCGGGGGGUUCCGGUAACCCCCCGGUACUCCGGUUUUAUCCGAAACUUCUCCGAAACACUUCCGGUGUCCGAAUAUAGUCGUCCAAUAUAUCAAUCCUUAUGUCUCGACCAUUUCGAGACUCCUCGUCAUGUCCGUGAUCACAUCCGGGACUCCGAACAAACUUCGGUACAUCAAAAUAUAUAAACUCAUAAUGAAACUAUCAUCGUAACGUUAAGCGUGCGGACCCUACGGUUCGAGAACAAUGUAGACAUGACCGAGACAUGUCUCCGGUCAAUAACCAAUAGCGGAACCUGGAUGCUCAUAUUGGCUCCUACAUAUUCUACGAAGAUCUUUAUCGGUCAGACCGCAUAACAACAUAUGUUGUUCCCUUUGUCAUCGAUAUUUUACUUGCCCGAGAUUCGAUCGUCGGUAUCUCAAUACCUAGUUCAAUCUCGUUACCGGCAAGCCUCUUUACUUGUUCCGUAAUACAUCGUCUCGCAACUAACUCAUUAGUUACAAUGCUUGCAAGGCUUAUGUGAUGUGCAUUACUGAGAGGGCCCAGAGAUACCUCUCCGAUAAUCGGAGUGACAAAUCCUAAUCUCGAAAUACGCCAACCCAACAUGUACCUUUGCAGACACCUGUAGAGCACCUUUAUAAUCACCCAGUUACGUUGUGACAUUUGGUAGCACACAAAGUGUUCCUCCGGUAAACGGGAGUUGCAUAAUCUCAUAGCCAUAGGAACAUGUAUAAGUCAUGAAGAAAGCAAUAGCAACAUACUAAACGAUCAGGUGCUAAGCUAAUGAAAUGGGUCAUGUCAAUCACAUCAUUCUCCUAAUGAUGUGAUCCCGUUAAUCAAAUGACAACACAUGUCUAUGGUUAGGAAACAUAACCAUCUUCGAUUAACGAGCUAGUCAAGUAGAGGUAUACUAGUGACAUUUAGUUUGUCUAUGUAUUCACACAAGUAUUAUGUUUCCGAUUAAUACAAUUCUAGCAUGAAUAAUAAACAUUUAUCAUGAUAUAAGGAAAUAAAAUAAUAACUUUAUUAUUGCCUCUAGGGCAUAUUUCCUUCAAUGCAGCACGUGGCAAUAGGCGGCAACCGGAUACCUACCAUCAACGUCGUACGCGGGUGAGACGUAUGAUGUGAUCUUGCGGAUAGUGUAUCAGAAAAAGGAAACCAGGUGACAUUGGUGUUUACGUGGUGUGACAAAAUUUAUAAAAAAGAUGACAUUGGCGUUUGUUGCUGAUAGAAAUAGAAAAAAUGAUGGAAAGUGCAUUUGCCAAGCCUGAUAACCUGUAUUUGCCACAUGUGGACAACUGCGGGUGUCAAAUUGAAUCUAUGACUAACAGUUGCCACAUGUGAUUGCACGCAGUUGCCAUGUCUUAACAACUGCAGUUGCCAUGUCUUAACAGCUGCAGUUGCGAUGACUAAACAACUGUGAUUGCCAUGUGUGAACAACUGUGGUUGCCAUGUGUGAACAACUGUGGUUGCCAAGUGUGAACAACUACAAUUACCAUGUUAUAAAAACUAUGGUUGCCAUGCAUUGACCAACUAUAGUUGGUCAAUGCUUCUCAACUGUAGUUGCCUUGCAUGGUGGACUAUAUUUGCCAUGAUUUCAAAGCUAAACUUCCACAUGAUCGCAGGUUGUUAUGGCGGAACCACACUAGCAAAGGUCUCAUGGCAAGCUUCACCAUUGCAGGCCAUGGUAUUAUAGAUACAGCACACCAAAUUGAAGUGACACACCAACUUCGAUUAGCACAUGCAGCACAACAAGGUAAAUUUGUGAACCAAUAAAAAUCAUGCAUUUGCUUUUGUGGAAAAGCAUUAGGGAAAGUGGAUUUGUCACGAUGGUGGUGGCAAACUGCGAUUGCCACCAAGUGGAUACGUCCAUUUGUCAUCAAUGAUCAUCUGGAUUAUCUGCAUUUGCCUUGUGGGCUCAUAUGUAGAAUGCAAGUUUUGAUGUUAAGAUGCUAGUUGCCAUGACUUGGCAACUGCAGCUGUCAUAUUAGGUCAACUGUAGCUGCCAUGGCUGAAAAACUGCAAUUGCCAUGCAUGGCCAAACGCAGAUGCUCAAGGCUUGCAUGUAUGAAUGAUAUCAUGCCAAUCAGAUGCAGCUGUUGUAUUUCAUUAUGAUGAAUAUGCCAUUCAAGCAAUACUGCCUACACAUGUACCUGCUUUUUGCAGGAGCUUCAACUACAAUCAACAGCGGUGCAGGAACAUCUACUGCGGGUACCUCAAAGCACGUGGACGGGGCGUUCCACAAUGAAGUCAACGAUGCUGCCACAAAUAAUGUAGAAUCAGUGUUAGAACUAGCAAUCAUUAAAGCAAUGACGACAAGCAUGCCUGUGCACACCAGCACAAGCAACACUCAAGCAGAUGAAACAGCCGCCAAUACUGAAGUGAUUAUGUUAUUUUUAUGACCAACAUUGUUAACAACAUGAUCAUGUUUUAUCAUUGAAAUUAAAGGUGCAUUUAUUUCUCAUAUUUUUCCCAAUGGUAAUAUAGAUUUAAUUGCAUAGACAAUUGUAUGUUUAAUUUGACCAACGUUAGAUUAAUGCAUAUGAUUGUUAUACUGAUCUCACUUAAAUUGUGAUUUUAGGAGGCUUUCACUUGAUGAGUUGCCUAAAAGAUGUCCCGACACUCAGAGGUGACAAUUACACUGAGUGGAGGAAGAAAGCAGAACUGGCAUUUGUCUGUGCUGAGCUGGACUGGGUUGUGGACAUUCCACAGCCGGUCAGACCUACAAAGCCAAUAAGAGAGGCCACUGAUGAUGAUGCUGCGCGGGAUAAAAAGAGGGCGGAUUAUGCUCCUUUGGAGAUGUCAUACUCCAUAGAAAACCAAAAUUGGGUCAAUGCAAACAAAAAGUGCAUGACAUUUAUAAAGAAUACAAUUGAGAGCACCGUUAUAGGCUCCACUGCAGAGUGCACUUCCGCAGGGGAGUUGCUUACAAAGAUAAAGAUCCAGUUCACUGGCUCUUCAAAGAUAUAUGCCACCCAGGUGUUGAAGCAACUGGUGACAGAACACUACAUAUGUGGUAGUCAUGGAAUAAGAGAGCACAUCCUCAGGAUGAGCAAUAUGGAAGCAAAGCUAAAGCCCAUGGAUGAGGACCUGGAGAUCAAACCAAAGCUCCUGGUCCACCUGGUCAUGGCUUCACUGCCAAAGGAGUUUGAAACUUUUGUUGUAAACUAAUAUAUGUCACUGGGACAUGGGACAUUGAAAAGAUAAUAGCAAUAUGUGUCCAAGAAGAGGACAGACUCAAAGCUUCACGGUGGUUCACUCAACUAUGUGAAGGAUCACAAGAAAAAGAAUUACAAUCAAAACAACAAAAGCUCCCCUUCAAAGCCACAAGGAAAAGCUCCCUAUCAGCAUCAGCGUCAGCAACAGCCUUUCCUAGUGGACAAAGACACUUAUCUCCACUGUAAGAAGAACGGGCAUUACAAGAAAGACUGCCCUGAUUGGCUAAAGUCAAUCAUGGAAAAAAGAGGUAACAAUAUAGUUUCAUUUGUAAAUGAAUUCCUAUAUACACAGUUUUGAAAAUCCACUUGGUGGAUUGACUCAGGAGCAACUGUUCAUGUUGCAAAUUCUUUAUAGGGAUUCCACUCGACGCGGACUACGCAAAGAAGCGAAAGAUGCAUUGAAGUGGCAAACGGAGUUGAAACAGAAGUUGAAGGUGCCAGUGACAUCUCCUUGGAGUUAGCUGAUGGAUUCAAUCUUCUACUUAGAGAUGUUUUAUUUGUUCCAUCAUGUCAUAGAAACUUAAUUAGUGUUUCUUUUUUGGACAAAGAUAAUUAUGAAUGUCAUUAUGGACAUGGCAAGUGUGCCAUAUGGUUAAAUAAUGCUUAUGUGGGUGAUGCUUUACUACACGAUGAGCUUUAUUUAUUAUCACUACAUGAAAAAGUGCAUUCUAUGUGUAAUGUGAAAGAACAUGUUUCCGCGUCGAAUAAAUAACAAAAGAAAAGAAAGAGAAUAUUCGACUCAUCGAAAUUAUGGCACUAUCGCUUGGGCCAUAUUUCCAAGGGGAGAAUAGAAAGAUUAGUUUUAAAAGUGAAAUUCUUCCUCCACUAGAAUUCUCAGACUUAGAACAAUGCAUAGAUUGCAUUAAAGGAAAGUAUGUAAAACAAAUCAAAAAAGGUGCAAUCCAUAGCAUAGGCACACUAGAAAUCAUCCACACUAACAUUUGUGGACCAUUUCCGGUGAAAAGUGUGGAUGGAUAUGACUCGUUCAUAACAUUCACGGACGAUUACUCUCGCUAUGGUUAUAUUUAUCCAAUCAAAGAAAGAUCGGAAGCGUUGGAUAAAUUUAAAAUAUUCAAAGCUGAUGUUGAAAAUCAGCAUGAUAAAAGAAUAAAGAUAGUAAGGUCCGACCGUGGGGGAGAGUACUACGGUCGGCACACUCCAUAUGGCCAAGUCCCUGGACCUUUUGCGAAGUUCUUGCAGGAGAUUGGCAUAGUAGCCCAGUAUUCAAUGUCGGGCGAGCCUCGGCAAAAUGAAGUAGCUGAAAAGUGCAACCGUACACUUAUGGAUAUGGUGCGCAGCAUGAUGAGUUAUUCCAACUUGCCAUUGUGAUUAUGGAUGGAGGCGCUUAAAACCGCCACUCACAUUCUCAAUAGAGUACCAAGCAAGUCGGUGCCCAUAACACUGUAUGAGCUAUUUACAGGAACGGUGCCCUCCCUACAACACUUCAGGGCGUGUGGGUGCCCUGCUGAGGCCAAAAUGUUUAAUCCAAACAUUGCAAAGUUAGAUCCCAAAAUAGUGAGUUGCCACUUCAUUGGCUAUCCAGACAGAUCAAAGGGUUUUCAUUUCUAAUGCCCAGACAGAUAUACAAAUUUUGUAGAAACAAUACAUGCAAUCUUCUUAGAGGAAGAAAUGAUGAGGGGGAGCUUGGUAGCUCAGAAAAUUGAUCUUGAGGAGAAGAGGGUGCAUGCACCUAAUCCGAUGAUUCAGAAGCCAUUUUUCUGAAGGAAAUAUGCCCUAGAGGCAAUAAUAAAGUUAUUAUUUAUUUAGAAUUGUAUUAACCAGAAACAUAAUACAUGUGUGAAUAUAUAGACAAACAGAGUGUCACUAGUAUGCCUCUACUUGACUAGCUCGUUAAUCAAAGAUGGUUAAGUUUCCUAACCAUAGACAUGAGUUGUCAUUUGAUUAACGGGAUUUGACCCAUUCCGUUAGCUUAGCACUUGAUCGUUUAGUAUGUUGCUAUUGCUUUCUUCAUGACUUAUACAUGUUCCUAUGACUAUGAGAUUAUGCAACUCCCGUUUACCAGAGGAACACUUUGUGUGCUACCAAACGUCACAACGUAACUGGGUGAUUAUAAAGGUGCUCUACAGGUGUCCCCGAAGGUACUUGUUGGGUUGGCGUAUUUCGAGAUUAGGAUUUGUCACUCCGAUUGUCGGAGAGGUAUCUCUGGGCCCACUCGGUAAUGCACAUCACUAUAAGCCUUGCAAGCAUUGCAACUAAUGAGUUAGUUGCGAGAUGAUGUAUUACAGAACAAGUAAAGAGACUUGCCGGUAACGAGAUUGAACUAGGUAUUGAGAUACCGACGAUCGAAUCUUGGGCAAGUAACAUACCUAUGACAAAGGGAACAACGAAUGUUGUUAUACGGUUUGACCGAUAAAGAUCUUCGUAGAAUAUGUGGGAGCCAAUAUGAGCAUCCAGGUUCCGCUAUUGGUUAUUGACCGGAGACGUGUCUCGGUCAUGUCUACAUAGUUCUCGAACCCAUAGGGUCCGCACGCUUAAAGUUCGAUGACGGUUAUAUUAUGUGUUUAUGUGUUUUGAUGUACCGAAGGUAGUUCGAAGUCCCGGAUGAGAUCGGGGACAUGACGAGGAGUCUCGAAAUGGUCUAGACGUAAAGAUCGAUAUAUUGGACGACUAUAUUCGUGUUGGGGAACGUUGCAGAAAACAAAAAAUUUCCUACGGUUUCACCAAGAUCCAUCUAUGAUUUCAUCUAGCAACGAGUAUUCAGAUUGCAUCUACAUACCUUUGUAGAUCGCGAGCGGAAGCGUUCACUAGAACGUGGAUGAUGGAGUCGUACUCGCCGUGAUCCAAAUCACCGAUGACCAAGCGCCGAACGGACGGCACUUCCGCGUUCAACACACGUACGGAGCGGAUGACGUCUCCUCCUUCUUGAUCCAGCAAGGGGAAAGGAGAGGUUGAGGAAGAUGGCUCCAGCAGCAGCACGACGGCGUGGUGUUGGUGGAGAGGCAGUACUCCGGCAGGGCUUCGCCAAGCGCAUGACGGAGGAGGAGAGGUGUUGCAGGGGAGAGGGAGGCGCCAAGAUGCAAGGGUGCGGCUGCCCCUCCCUCCCCCCUUUAUAUAGGCCCCUGGAGGGGCGCCGUCCCUUGGAGAUUAGAUCUCCCAAGGGGGGCGGCGGCCAGCGGGGUGGAGUACCCCCCAAGGCAAGUGGGGCGCCCCCCACCCUAGGGUUUCCAACCCUAGGCGCAGGGGUGGGCCAAGGGGGGCGCACCAGCUCACUAGGGGCUGGUUCCCCCUCCCACUUCAGCCCAUGGGGCCCUCCGGGAUGGGUGGCCCCACCCGGUGGACCCCCGGGACCCAUCCUGUGGUCCCGGUACAAUACCGGUGACCCCCGAAUCUUUCCCGAUGGCUGAAACUGCACUUCCUAUAUAUAUUCUUUACCUCCGGACCAUUCCGGAACUCCUCGUGACGUACGGGAUCUCAUCCGGGACUCCGAACAACUUUCGGAUUACUGCAUAUACAUAUAUUUACAACCCUAGCGUCACCGAACCUUAAGUGUGUAGACCCUACGGGUUCGGGAGACAUGUAGACAUGACAGAGACACCUCUCCGGCCAAUAACCAAUAGCGGGAUCUGGAUACCCAUGUUGGCUCCCACAUACUCCUCGAUGAUCUCAUCGGAUGAACCACGAUGUCGAGGAUUCACUCAAUCCCAUAUACAAUUCCCUUUGUCAAUCGGUAUUUUACUUGCCCGAGAUUCGAUCGUCGGUAUCCCAAUACCUCGUUCAAUCUCGUUACCGGCAAGUCACUUUACUCGUACCAUAAUGCAUGAUCCCGUGAUCAAACACUUUGAUCACAUUGAGCUCAUUAUGAUGAUGCAUUACCGAGUGGGCCCGGUGAUACCUCUCCGUAAUACAGAGUGACAAAUCCCAGUCUCGAUCCAUGUCAACCCAACAGACACUUUCGGAGAUACCCGUAGUAUACCUUUAUAGUCACCCAGUUACGUUGUGACGUUUGGCACACCCAAAGCACUCCUACGGUAUCCGGGAGUUACACGAUCUCAUGGUCUAAGGAAAAGAUACUUGACAUUGGAAAAGCUCUAGCAAACGAAUUAUACGAUCUUGUGCUUAUGCUUAGGAUUGGGUCUUGUCCAUCACAUCAUUCUCCUAAUGAUGUGAUCUCGUUAUCAAUGACAUCCAAUGUCCAUAGUCAGGAAACCAUGACUAUCAGUUGAUCAACGAGCUAGUCUACUAGAGGUUUACUAGGGACAUGUUGGUAUCUAUGUAUUCACACAUGUAUUACGAUUUCCGGAUAACACAAUUAUAGCAUGAAUAAAAGACAAUUAUCAUGAACAAGGAAAUAUAAUAAUAAUGCUUUUAUUAUUGCCUCUAGGGCAUAUUUCCAACAGUCUCCCACUUGCACUAGAGUCAAUAAUCUAGUUACAUUGUGAUGAAUCAAACACCCAUAGAGUUCUGGUGUUGAUCAUGUUUUGCUCUAGGGAGAGGUUCAGUCAACGGAUCUGCGACAUUCAGAUCCGUAUGCACUUUGCAAAUUUCUAUGUCUCCAUCUUGAACAUUUUCACGGAUGGAGUUGAAGCGACACUUGAUGUGCCUGGUCUUCUUGUGAAACCUGGGCUCCUUGGCAAGUGCAAUAGCUCCAGUGUUGUCGCAGAAGAGUUUGAUUGGCCCCGACGCAUUGGGUAUGACUCCUAGGUCGGUGAUGAACUCCUUCACCCAAAUUGCUUCAUGCGCUACCUCCGAGGCUGCCAUGUACUCCGCUUCACAUGUAGAUCCCGCCACGACGCUCUGCUUGCAGCUGCACCAGCUUACUGCUCCACCAUUCAACAUAUACACGUAUCCGGUUUGUGACUUAGAGUCAUCCAGAUCUAUGUCGAAGUUAGCGUCGACGUAACCCUUUACGACGAGCUCUUCGUCACCUCCAUAAACGAGAAACAUGUCCUUAGUCCUUUUCAGGUACUUCAGGAUAUUCUUGACCGCUGUCCAGUGUUCCUUGCCGGGAUUACUUUGGUACCUUCCUACCAAACUUACGGCAAGGUUUACAUCAGGUCUGGUACACAGCAUGGCAUACAUAAUAGACCCUAUGGCCGAGGCAUAGGGGAUGACACUCAUCUCUUCUAUAUCUUCUGCCGUGGUCGGGCAUUGAGCUGAGCUCAAUUUCACACCUUGCAACACAGGCAAGAACCCCUUCUUGGACUGAUCCAUAUUGAACUUCUUCAAUAUCUUUUCAAGGUAUGUGCUUUGUGAAAGACCUAUGAGGCAUCUUGAUCUAUCUCUAUAGAUCUUGAUGCCUAAUAUAUAAGCAGCUUCUCCAAGGUCCUUCAUUGAAAAACUCUUAUUCAAGUAGGCCUUAAUGCUGUCCAAAAGUUCUAUAUCAUUUCCCAUCAAAAGUAUGUCAUCUACAUAUAAUAUGAGAAAUGCUACAGAGCUCCCACUCACUUUCUAGUAAACGCAGGCUUCUCCAUAAGUCUGCACAAACCCAAACGCUUUGAUCAUCUCAUCAAAGCGAAUGUUCCAACUCCGAGAUGCUUGCACCAGCCCAUAAAUGGAUCGCUGGAACUUGCAUACCUUGUUAGCAUUCUUAGGGUCGACAAAACCUUCCGGCUGCAUCAUAUACAGUUCUUCCUUAAGAUAGCCGUUAAGGAAUGCCGUUUUGACGUCCAUUUGCCAUAUCUCAUAAUCAUAGUAUGCGGCAAUUGCUAACAUGAUUCGGACGGACUUCAUCUUCGCUACGGGAGACAAAGUCUCAUCAUAGUCAACCCCUUGAACUUGUCGAUAACCCUUAGCGACAAGUCGAGCUUUAUAGAUGGUAACAUUACCAUCCGCGUCCGUCUUCUUCUUAAAGAUCCAUUUGUUUUCUAUCGCUCGCCGAUCAUCGGGCAAGUCUGUCAAAGUCCAUACAUGGAUCCUAUCUCGGAUUGCAUGGCCUCUAGCCAUUUGUUGGAAUCUGGGCCCGCCAUCGCUUCUUCAUAGUUCGAAGGUUCACCGUUGUCUAACAACAUGAUUUCCAGGACAGGGUUGCCGUACCACUCUGGUGCGGAACGUGUCCUUGUGGACCUACGAAGUUCAGUAGUAACUUGAUCCGAAGUUUCAUGAUCAUCAUCAUUAACCUCCUCUCUAACCGGUGGAGGCACCACAGAAACAUUUUCUUGAGCUGCGCUACUCUCCGGUUCAAGAGGUAAUACUUCAUCAAGUUCCACUUUCCUCCCACUUACUUCUUUCGAGAGAAACUCUUUCUCCAGAAAGGAUCCGUUCUUGGCAACAAAGAUCUUGCCUUCGGAUCUUAGGUAGAAGGUAUACCCAAUGGUUUCCUUAGGGUAUCCUAUGAAGACGCAUUUUUCCGACUUGGGUUCGAGCUUUUCAGGUUGAAGUUUCUUGACAUAAGCAUCGCAUCCCCAAACUUUUAGAAACGACAGCUUCGGUUUCUUCCCAAACCAUAAUUCAUACGGUGUCGUCUCAACGGAUUUAGACGGUGCCCUAUUUAAAGUGAAUGCAGCUGUCUCUAGAGCGUAUCCCCAAAAUGAUAGCGGUAAAUCAGUAGGAGACAUCAUAGAUCGCACCAUAUCCAAUAGAGUGCGAUUACGACAUUCGGACACACCGUUACAUUGAGGUGUUCCAGGCGGCAUGACUUGUGAAAUGAUUCCACAUUUCCUUAAGUGUGUGCCAAAUUCGUGACUUAAAUAUUCUCCUCCACGAUCUGAUCGUAAGAACUUUAUUUUUUGGUCACGUUGAUUCUCUACCUCAUUCUGAAAUUCCUUGAACUUUUCAAAGGUCUCAGACUUGUGUUUCAUCAAGUAGACAUAUCCAUAUCUACUCAAGUCAUCCGUGAGAGUGAGAACAUAACGAUAUCCUCCGCGAGCCUCAACACUCAUUGGACCGCACACAUCAGUAUGUAUGAUUUCCAAUAAGUUGGUUGCUCGCUCCAUUGUCCCGGAGAACGGAGUCUUGGUCAUUUUGCCCAUGAGGCAUGGUUCGCAUGUGUCAAAUGAUUCAUAAUCGAGAGACUCUAAAAGUCCAUCAGCAUGGAGCUUCUUCAUGCACUUGACACCAAUGUGACCAAGGCGGCAGUGCCAUAAGUAUGUGGGACUAUCGUUAUCAACUUUACACCUUUUGGUAUUCACACUAUGAAUAUGUGUAUCAUCAUGCACGAGAUUCAUUAAGAAUAAACCAUUGACCAUCGGAGCAUGACCAUAAAACAUAUCACUCAUAUAAAUAGAACAACCAUUAUUCUCGGAUUUAAAUGAGUAGCCAUCUCGUAUUAAACGAGAUCCAGAUACAAUGUUCAUGCUCAAACUUGGCACUAAAUAACAAUUAUUGAGGUUUAAAACUAAUCCCGUAGGUAAAUGUAGAGGCAGCGUGCCGACGGCGAUCACAUCGACCUUGGAACCAUUCCCGACGCGCAUUGUCACCUCGUCCUUCGCCAGUCUCUGCUUAUUCUGCAGCUCCUGCUUUGAGUUACAAAUAUGAGCAAGGCACCGGUAUCAAAUACCCAGGAGCUACUACGAGCACUGGUAAGGUACACAUCAAUUACAUGUAUAUCACAUAUACCUUUAGUGUUGCCGGCCUUCUUGUCCGCUAAGUAUUUGGGGCAGUUCCGCUUCCAGUGACCCUUCCCUUUGCAAUAAAAGCACUCAGUCUCAGGCUUGGGUCCAUGCUUUGACUUCUUCCCGGCAACUUGCUUACCGGGCGCGGCAACAUCCUUGCCGUCCUUCUUGAAGUUCUUCUUACCCUUGCCUUUCUUGAACUUGGUGGUUUUAUCGACCAUCAACACUUGAUGUUCCUUUUUGAUUUCUACCUCUGCUGAUUUCAGCAUAGCAAAUACCUCAGGAAUGGUCUUUACCAUCCCCUGCAUAUUGUAGUUCAUCACAAAGCUCUUGUAGCUAGGUGGGAGCGACUGAAGGAUUCUGUCAAUGACCGCCUCAUCUGGGAGGUUAAUCUCCAGCUGAGUCAAGCAGUUGUGCAACCCAGACAUCUUGAGUAUGUGUUCACUGACAGAACUAUUUUCCUCCAUCUUACAGCUGUAGAACUUGUCGGAGACUUCAUAUCUCUCGACCCGGGCAUGAGCUUGGAAAACCAUUUUCAGCUCUUCGAACAUCUCAUAUGCUCCGUGUUGCUCAAAAUGUUUUUGGAGCCCCGGUUCUAAGCUGUAAAGCAUGCCGCACUGAACGAGGGAGUAAUCAUCAGCACGCUGCUGCCAAGCGUUCAUAACGUCUUGGUUCUCUGGGACGGGUGCAUCACCUAGCGGUGCUUCUUGGACAUAUUGUUUCCUGGCAGCUAUGAGGAUGAUCCUCAGGUUCCGGCCCAGUCCGUAUAGUUGCUGCCAUCGUCUUUCAGCUUGAUUUUCUCUAGGAACGCGUUGAAGUUGAGGUUGACAUUAGCGUUGGCCAUUUGAUCUACAAGACAUUUAUGCAAAAGAUUUGAGACUAAGUUCAUGAUAAUUAAGUUCAUCUAAUCAAAUUAUUUAAUGAACUCCCACUCAGAUUAGACAUCCCUCUAGUCAUCUAAGUGAAACAUGAUCCGACUCGACUAGGCCGUGUCCGAUCAUCACGUGAGACGGACUAGUCAUCAUCGGUGAACAUCUCCAUGUUGAUCGUAUCUUCCAUACGACUCAUGUUCGACGUUUCGGUUUCUUGUGUUCCGAGGCCAUGUCUGUACAUGCUAGGCUCGUCAAGUCAACCUAAGUGUUUGCAUGUGUAAAUCUGUCUUACACCCGUUGUAUGUGAACGUUGGAAUCUAUCACACCCGAUCAUCACGUGGUGCUUCGAAACAACGAACUGUCGCAACGGCGCACAGUUAGGGGGAACACUUUCUUGAAAUUUAUUAUGAGGGAUCAUCUUAUUUACUACCGUCGUUCUAAGUAAACAAGAUGCAAAACAUGAUAAACAUCACAUGCAAUCAAAUAAUAAUAGUGACAUGAUAUGGCCAAUAUCAUAUAGCUCCUUUGAUCUCCAUCUUGGGGCUCCAUGAUCAUCUUGUCACCGGCAUGACACCAUGAUCUCCAUCAUCAUGAUCUCCAUCAUCGUGUCUCCAUGAAGUUGCUCGCCAACUAUUACUUCUACUACUAUGGCUAACACGUUUAGCAAUAAAGUAAAGUAAUUUACAUGGCGUUUCCAUUGACACGCAGGUCAUAAAAAAUUAUGACAACUCCUAUGGCUCCUGCCGGUUGUCAUACUCAUCGACAUGCAAGUCGUGAUUCCUAUUACAUGAACAUGAUCUCAUACAUCACAUAUAUAUCAUUCAUCAUUCAUCACAACUUUGGCCAUAUCAUAUCACAAAGCACUUGCUGCAAAAACAAGUUAGACGUCCUCUAAUUGUUGUUGCAAGUUUUACGUGGCUGCAAUAGGGUUCUAGCAAGAACAUUUUCUUACCUAUGUGAAAGCCACAGCGUGAUUUGUCAACUUCUAUUUACCCUUCAUAAGGACCCCUUUCGUCGAAUCCGCUCCAACUAAAGUGGGAGAGACAGACACCCGCCAGCCACCUUAUGCAACUAGUGCAUGUCAGUUGGUGGAACCGGUCUCACGUAAGUGUACGUGUAAGGUUGGUCCGGGCCGCUUCAUCCCACAAUACCGCUGAAGCAAAAUAAGGCUAGUAGCGGCAAGAAAGUUGACAACAGCUAUGCCCACAACAAUUGUGUUCUACUCGUGCAAAGAGAACUACGCAUAGACCUAGCUCAUGAUGCCACAGUUGGGGAACGUUGCAGAAAAAAAAAAAUUCCUACGGUUUCACCAAGAUCCAUCUAUGAGUUCAUCUAGCAACGAGUAUUCAGAUUGCAUCUACAUACCUUUGUAGAUCGCGAGCGGAAGCGUUCACUAGAACGUGGAUGAUGGAGUCGUACUCGCCGUGAUCCAAAUCACCGAUGACCAAGCGCCGAAGGGACGGCACCUCCGCGUUCAACACACGUACGGAGCGGAUGACGUCUCCUCCUUCUUGAUCCAGCAAGGGGAAAGGAGAGGUUGAGGAAGAUGGCUCCAGCAGCAGCACGACGGCAUGGUGUUGGUGGAGAGGCAGUACUCCGGCAGGGCUUCGCCAAGCGCGUGACGGAGGAGGAGAGGUGUUGCAGGGGAGAGGGAGGCGCCAAGAUGCAAGGGUGCGGCUGCCCCCUCCCUCCCCCCUUUAUAUAGGCCCCUGGGGGGGCGCCGUCCCUUGGAGAUUAGAUCUCCCAAGGGGGGCGGCGGCCAGGGGGGUGGAGUACCCCCCCAAGGCAAGUGGGGCGCCCCCACCCUAGGGUUUCCAACCCUAGGCACAGGGGUGGGCCAAGGGGGGCGCACCAGCUCACUAGGGGCUGGUUCCCCCUCCCACUUCAGCCCAUGGGGCCCUCCGGGAUGGGUGGCCCCACCCGGUGGACCCCCGGGACCCAUCCUGUGGUCCCGGUACAAUACCGGUGACCCCCGAAUCUUUCCCGAUGGCCGAAACUGCACUUCCUAUAUAUAAUUCUUUACCUCCGGACCAUUCCGGAACUCCUCGUGACGUCCAGGAUCUCAUCCGGGACUCCAAACAACUUUCGGAUUACUGCAUAUACAUAUCUUUACAACCCUAGCGUCACCGAACCUUAAGUGUGAAGACCCUACGGGUUCGGGAGACAUGUAGACAUGACCGAGACACCUCUCCGGCCAAUAACCAACAGCGGGAUCUGGAUAUACAUGUUGGCUCCCACAUACUCCUCGAUGAUCUCAUCGGAUGAACCAUGAUGUCGAGGAUUCACUCAAUCCCGUAUAAAAUUCCCUUUGUCAAUCGGUAUUUUACUUGCCCGAGAUUCGAUCGUCGGUAUCCCAAUACCUCGUUCAAUCUCGUUACCGGCAAGUCACUUUACUCGUACCAUAAUGCAUGAUCCCGUGAUCAAACACUUUGAUCACAUUGAGCUCAUUAUGAUGAUGCAUUACCGAGUGGGACCGGUGAUACCUCUCCGUAAUAUAGAGUGACAAAUCCCAGUCUCGAUCCGUGUCAACCCAACAGACACUUUCGGAGAUACCCGUAGUAUACCUUUAUAGUCACCCAGUUACGUUGUGACGUUUGGCACACCCAAAGCACUCCUACGGUAUCCGGGAGUUACACGAUCUCAUGGUCUAAGGAAAAGAUACUUGACAUUGGAAAAGCUCUAGCAAACGAAUUAUACGAUCUUGUGCUUAUGCUUAGGAUUGGGUCUUGUCCAUCACAUCAUUCUCCUAAUGAUGUGAUCUCGUUAUCAAUGACAUCCAAUGUCCAUAUUCAGGAAACCAUGACUAUCAGUUGAUCAACGAGCUAGUCAACUAGAGGCUUACUAGGGACAUGUUGGUGUCUAUGUAUUCACACAUGCAUUACGAUUUCCGGAUAACACAAUUAUAGCAUGAAUAAAAGACAAUUAUCAUGAACAAGGAAAUAUAAUAAUAAUGCUUUUAUUAUUGCCUCUAGGGCAUAUUUCCAACAAUUCGGACAUCAGAAAGGUUCCGAGUGAUUCGGGUAUUUUUUGGAGUACCGGAGAGUUACGGGAAUUCGCCGGGGAGUAUAUGGGCCUUAUUGGGCUUUAGGGGAAAGAGAGAGGAGAGGCUGCGCACCUCCCCAAGGCCUAGUCCAAAUUGGACUAGGGGGAGGGGCUGCGCCCCCUCCUUCCUUCUCUUCUCUGUUCCCUUUCCUUGACUCCUACUCCUACUACUUGGAAGGGGGGAAUCCUACUCCCGGUAGGAGUAGGACUCUUCCAGGGCGCGCCAUAGGGGCCGGCCCUCUCCCCCUCCUCCACUCCUUUAUAUACGUGGCCAGGGGGCACCCCAUAGACACAAUAAUUCAUCCCUUGGAUCUCUUAGCCGUGUGCGGUGCGCCCCUCCACCAUAAUCCACCUCGAUAAUAUCGUAGCGGUGCUUAGGCGAAGCCCUGCGACGGUAGAACAUCAUCAUCGUCACCACGCCGUCGUGCUGACGGAACUCUCCCUCAAAGCUCGGCUGGAUCGGAGUUCGAGGGACGUCAUCGAGUUGAACGUGUGCUGAACUCGGAGGUGUCGUGCGUUCGGUACUUGAUCGGUCGGAUCGUGAAGACGUACGACUACAUCAGCCGCGUUGUGCUAACGCUUCCACUUUCGGUCUACGAGGGUACGUGGACACACUCUCCCUCUCGUUGCUAUGCAUCACCAUGAUCAUGCGUGUGCAUAGGAAUUUUUUUGAAAUUACUACGUUCCCCACAGUGGUAUCCGAGCCAGGUUUAUGCAUAGAUGUUAUAUGCACGAGUAGAACACAAGUGAGUUGUAGGCGAUACAAGUCAUAUUGCUUACCAGCAUGUCAUACUUUGGUUCGGCGAUAUUGUUGGAUGAAGCGGCCCGGACCGACAUUACGCGUACGCUUACGCGAGACUGGUUCUACCGACGUGCUUUGCACACAAGUGGCUCGCGGGUGUCAGUUUCUCCAACUUUAGUUGAAUCGAGUGUGGCUACGCCCGGUCCUUGAGAAGGUUAAAACAUCACUAACUUGACAAACUAUCAUUGUGGUUUAUGCGUAGGUAAGAACGGUUCUUGCUCAGCCCGUAGCAGCCACGUAAAGCUUGCAACAACAAAGUAGAGGACGUCUAACUUGUUUUUGCAGGGCAUGUUGUGAUGUGAUAUGGUCAAGAUGUGAUGAGAUAUAAGUUGUUGUAUAAGAUGAUCAUGUUUUGUUGAAUUUAUCGACAACUGGCAGAAGCCUUAUGGUUGUCUCUUUAUUGCAUAAGAUGCAAGCGCCAAAUAAUUGCUUUACUUUAUCGCUAUGCUAUAGCAAUAGUUGCAAGAGCAAUAGUUGGCGAGACGACCAUGUGACGACACAUUGAUGUAGAUCAAGAUGAUGGAGAUCAUGGUGUCAUGCCGGUGACGAUGGAAAUCAUGACGAUGCUUUGGAGAUGGAGAUCAAAGGCACAAGAUGAUGAUGGCCAUAUCAUGUCACAUAUUUUGAUUGCAUGUGAUGUUUACCUUUUAUACAUCUUAUUUUGCUUAGUUCAGCGGUUGCUUUAUAAGAUGAUCCCUUACUAAAAUUUCAAGGUACAAGUGUUCUCCCUGAGUAUGCACCGUUGCCAAAGUUCGUCGUGCCGAGACACCACGUGAUGAUCGGGUGUGAUAAGCUCUACGUUCAUCUACAAUAGGUGGAAGCCAGUUUUGCACACACAGAAUACUCGGGUUAAACUUGACGAGCCUAGCAUAUGCAGAUAUGGCCUUGGAACACUGGAGACCGAAAGGUCGAACAUGAAUCAUAUAGCAUAUAUGAUCAACAUAGUGAUGUUCACCAUUGAAAACUACUCCAUCUCACGUGACGAUCGGACAUGGUUUAGUUGAUUUGGAUCGCGUGAUCAUUUAGAUGACUCGAGGGAUGUCUAUCUAAGUGGGAGUUCUUAAGUAAUAUGAUUAAUUGAACUUUAAUUUAUCAUGAACUUAGUCCUGGUAGUAUUAGCAUAUCUCUGUUUUAGAUCAAUAGCUCGCGAUGUUGCUCCCCGUUUAAAUUUUUAUAUGUUACUAGAGAAAACUAAGUUGAAAAAUGUUAGUAGCAAUGAUGCGGAUUGGAUCCGUGAUCUGAGGUUUAUCCUCAUUGCUGCACAGAAGAAUUAUGUCCUUGAUGCACCGCUAGGUGAUGGACCUAUUGCAGGAGCAUAUGCAAACAUUAUGAACGUUUGACAAAGCUCGGUAUGAUAACUACUUGAUAGUUUAGUGCACCAUGCUUUAUGGCUUAGAACCGGGACUUCAAAAAUGUUUUGAACGCCACAGAGUAUAUAAGAUGUUCCAAGAGUUGAAAUUGGUAUAUCAUACUCAUGCCCGUGUCGAGAGGUAUGAGACCUCUGACAGUACUUUCCCUACAAGAUGGAGGAGAAUAGCUCAACCAGUGAGCAUGUGCUCAGAUUGUCUGGGUACUACAAUUGCUUGAAUCAAGUGGGAGUUAAUCUUCCAGAUAAGAUAGUGAUUGACAGACUUCUCUAGUCACUAUCACCAAGUUACUAGAACUUCAUGAUGAACUAUAAUAUGCAAGGGAUAACGGAAACGAUUCCCAAGGUCUUCGUGAUGCUGAAAUCGAUGAAGGUAGAAAUUAAGAAAAAGCAUCAAGUGUUGAUGGUUGACAAGAACACUAGUUUCAAGAAAAAGGGCAAAGGGAAGAAGGGGAACUUGAUGAAGAACGGCAAGCAAGUUGCUGCUCAAGAGAAGAAACCCAAGUCUGGACCUAAGACUGAGACUGAGUGCUUCUAAUGCAAAGGGACUGGUCACGGGAAACGGAACUGCCCCAAGUAUUUGGCGGAUAAGAAGGAUGGCAAAGUGAACAUAUGUAUAUUUGAUAUACAUGUUAUUGA